UCCCAUAUUUAUUACAACCAUACCAAUUAACAGGUUACUUGAAGAGAAUAAUAUUUUUUAGUUUGUUUAGAAAACAUACAAUUUCAUAAUAAAAACAGACAAAAGGUUAUUACUGAAGAAAUAGGGGAUUGAGAUCCACUUCACUAACAGACAAAGGGUUAUUGUUUGUAGUGAAGAGGUACGUAGACUCAUCUGAGAAAAAAAGAAUUUCAUCUCAUCCAAAUUAACUUUAAAUUUUUGCACAACAAUCAUGUUUUUCUUAGCAUUUCAAUAAAAAAUUAAUGAAUCAGACUAAAAUAUAGGUUCAAUUCAACUGUAAUCGACAAAUGCAAGUAACCAAAAAAUCUCUAAAGACUAAACAUAGCUAAAAAAGUUAAAACAAGAAUUAUAACGCAUUUCCAUUCAAAAUGUUUGAAUGAGAGAGGUUUUAAGAAAACCUUUGGCAAAAAGAUGAUUGUGAAAGUGAAAUCGGGUUAGAGAAAAUGAGUGAGUUGUGUUUGGGUUGUGUAAAAUUAUAUUGGAGAAAAUUUUCAUUUUAAUUAGGAAAAAAUCUAUUCAUGUAUAUGUUAUUUAAGAGUAAUUUUUCGACACGUGCUUUGCACGUAUAUGUCAAAUUAUUUAAUAUUUAACUUUAUAAAUAAUUUUCGUUCAUUUCUUGUUGCCACUGAAGGAGAUGGUAUAGGGUACCCGAAUUGGAACCUUGCCGCUGCCACAACUGCAUUUUCUGUCAAUUGAUGUUCCUUCCGCUGUUGUUGUUGGAGAUGAUAGUAGGGUAGCUACAUUGGGUACCCACCUUCUGUUGCUGCAUUCUCCGUCGAUUUUUGCGAUUUAUUCUUCAUUAUGUUUUAGAUAAAGGACGAUAAUUUCUAUGUUAACAAACACACACAUAGAGAGAAAUGGAAGAAGAGUAAUCCACUUGUUUUAUGCUCUUUUACUUAUGCGCUUUUUGUGCAAACUCACUAUUUUUAUCAGCUAAAUUUGUACUUAUCGGAUAGACAGGGGGAGUGAUGAUACAGAAAUAAUCACGGAUAUGGACUUAUGGGAGUGCAUUUUGGGUCCAAGAAUUGGUGUGUGCAAUUGAAGUGCAAAAGGAAACCUAAGUGCACUAAAAAUCAGCCAACAUAUUACACUUGAUGGGCACCUAAGUCUCUAAGGGGCCUUUUGGUCUUUUUGUAUUUUAUUUGUAACCAAAUAUAAAUAGAACAUUGUAAGGCUUUUAGACUUAGUUUAUUGAUGAUGUUGUAAGUCUUAAGACAUUGAAAAACACAAGUCCUCUCUUCUCUUUGGAGGCAAAACCGAAACUAGGAUACAAUAAUAGGGUGGAUUCUCUUUUAUUGUUGUUUGCUUGGAAACAUUGAUGCUUGGGAGGUGGAUUCCGAUCUUGUGUCUUUGUAAGAGAUAGGUUUAUUGUUGUGUGUAGUGUUAAGGGUCCAAGAUUGUCCAUUCUUGGGUUCUUAAGAUUAUACCUUCAUGUGGUCUAUCUAUCUAUCCUUUUACCUUCUUGUAAUCUUGUGUUCUUGUUGUUAUUGUUAAAUCCGAAUCUUGUGUCUUCUUUUUUAUCAUCUUAUGUUAAUCUUGUUCUUGUUUUUGUUGCUGUUUUGGUUUUAAAAUACACAUUUUAUCUUGUAUUUUUCUUGUUGAUAGAAAAUUCGAAAGUGGUCUCCAACUUGGUCCUCGGAUUCUUAAGAUUGUGGACUAAUUUGGAGUGUGUUUUGUGCCUUUCGUUGUCAUUCUUGUAUCAUUUGGUAUCAGAGCAUGGCUUGAUCUUGUUCCCACAAGAUCAAUCUUGGGCUUGUAAGUGGAAAAAAUAAAAAUAAAAAAGUGUUCAAAACUGAAAAUUUCAGAAAAAAAUAGCAAUCUGUUCGUGUUGUGUUCUUGGCCGAAAAGUGUGUUCUUGUAGUUUCUUGGCCGAGGUUUUUACUUGUAUUUGUUAUCUCUAAGUUUUAGUUUUGUUCCUCACUAACACGUUGAGUUUAUAUCUAGCUUUGAGCUUUAAAAAUUGAUGUUGUUGUUGUGAACAUAAGACUUGGACGAAUUGUUGUUGAAACAUUAUUGUGGUGGACUGUUUUGGCCUUGUGGUCUUCAUCAUUUUGUUGUUCUAAGCUUGGCCACAUGGUAUUUUUUCUCAUUGGUGGCCUAAGAACCAUCUUGUUGAAGUUGUAGUUGUCUUGGACAAGUGUUGAAGAUAUUGUAUUGUGAAAAUUGGAAGUUGGCCGUGUGAAAAUUGUUGGUGUUCUUGGAGAUUGUUGUUGGUUGUUCUUGGUGAUUGUUGAUUUUGUUCAUGGAUUUCUUCACAACCUUCAUAGCUUUUUAAAAUAAAGUGAACCUUAGAUCUAUAAAGGUGAAGGGAAAAAGGCAAAGCUUUGUUAGUCUUCAAAGACGUACCAUCACUCAUCAACUAGUCAAUCACAUCUCAACCACUUUCCAACAACUUUUCAUGAUUCAAGAACCCAUGUUUUAAGGAUAGUACAAGUCUAGUCAAAGACAUUUGAGUCUUGAAUUUUGAAUUGAAAAGAAGCUCCAAAGACUAGUUUGUAUUUCCCUUCAUUGAACAAGUUCCACCAAAGGUCCCAAAUUGAAAAUUGACCAAGACUUGAACUAUUGAAAUUAACAACUUGAUAAAAUCAAACCAAUACGUGACUGACACAUCACAUUUUACUGUUCACACGACAAAAUUUUAAGCUCAAAUUUUGAUCUUUUAGUUUCAUUGUGUUGUCUCUUUAGUUUCGUUUGUUGAUUCCAUUACUAACGUACGAGCUAGUACUAGAUUGUAAGUUAGUUUUGAAACCGUUAUUCGUGUUAACUUUUCUUUGUGUGUCUUAAUCCUUUGAAUCAUUGUAACGUCCUUGUGUUUUUUUUUUCCUUACUCUUUGGAGUUGUUUUUAACGUUGGAUUCACCUUGCAACACCUCUCGGAGUACAAGAAAGCUUUCAAUACUUGUGAGAUUGAGUGUGAGGGAUCCGAGAAACCCGAAAUAAAAGAGAGAGUGAGGAUGUUUUGUAUAACUAACGUAUUUUCUAUUUUGUAGGUAGCUUCUUCGCCACAAUGGAUACCAUUUUGGCCCACCUUGAUGCUAUUACCCGAGAAAUAGCUAAGGCGGAUGCGAGUCUUGACAAAUUAGGCUUGGAUAUGUCUACUAUACUUGAGAGGUUGGAUCGAGUGGAGAGUCGAAGGAAUUCUUAUGAUUCUACUUCCGAAGCUUUACCUCAAGCAAUCAAUCCUCCAAGACCACCACCAAAUGACAUAGACAUAAUCCAAGCCACCAAAUGUCCUCCAACCCGAGACCUACAUAGGUCUAUCCCUCUUCCAUUCGAUCAAGUCCAAAAAAUUGACUCAGAAGUCAAAUCUCUCCCGUCCAAGCUCCACAACCGAAACUCCACUUUACCAAAUCAAUCCUCUCAACCGAAAUUCCACUUCACUAAAGCCGACAUGUCUAUGUAGAGGAGAAUGAUAGAAAGGAACAUGACGGAUAUGGAGUCUACGACGAUGCUUGUAUCAUGAUAGGAGACUUGUUUCUGAUGAGAUUGAAGACAAGGCUCAAGAUGGAGAGGAAGCCGAGAUUCAAAAUUAAGAUGUUGGCCAAGACUUUUGUUAAUGUUUUUCGGGCUGUUUUGAGUAGUUUAUUUUAAAGUGGCUGAUUGAACAAGGUGAAGCCGUAAAUUUGUGGACAAAUUUCUCUCAAGAUGGAGAGGAUGAUACGGGAAUAAUCACGGACAUGGACUUAUGGGAGUACAUUUUGGGUCCGACACUUGGUGUGUGUAAUUGAAAUGCAAAAAGGAACCUAAGUGCACAAAAAAUCAGUCAACAUAUUACAUUUGAUGGGCACCUAAGUCUCUAAGGGGUCUUUUGGUCUUUUUGUAUUUUAUUUGUAACCUAAUAUAAAUAGAACAUUGUAAGGCUUUUAGACUUAGUUUAUUGAUGAUGUUGUAAGUCUUAAGACAUUGAAAAACACAAGUCCUCUCUUCUCUUUGAAGGCAAAACCGAAACUAGGAUACAACAAUAGGGUGGAUUCUCUUUUAUUAUUGUUUGCUUGGAAACAUUGAUGCUUGGGAGGUGGAUUCCGAUCUUGUGUCUUUGUAAGAGAUAGGCUUAUUGUUGUGUGUAGUGUUAAGGGUCCAAGAUUGUCCAUUCUUGGGUUCUUAAGAUUAUACCUUCAUGUGGUCUAUCUAUCUGUCAUUUUACCUUCUUGUAAUCUUGUUUAUUGUUUGUGUUGUAAUCUUGUGUUCUUGUUGUUAUUGUUAAAUCCGAAUCUUGUGUCUUCUUUUUUAUCAUUUUAUGUUAAUCUUGUUCUUGUUCUUGUUGUUGUUUUGGUUUUAAAAUACACAUUGUAUCUUGUAUUCUUCUUGUUGAUAGCGAAUUCGAGAGUGGUCUCCAUCUUGGUCCUCAGAUCCUUAAGAUUGUGGACUGAUUUGGAGUGUAUUUUGUGCCUUCCAUUGUCAUUCUUGUAUCAAGUGAGGUCCACCACAUUUAUCAGUGAUAGACAGAACCUCAAUUCUUUAAUUAAGUCGGUAGCUAGUGGAAUUAUCAGACGAAAAAAUGGGCUCACCCUCAUUCAAUUUCCUUGUAUUGCUCGAAAAGAACAACUUCUCAAUGGCCGAAAACAUGAUGAAUUGAACACGAAAAAAGGUUCAAUUCAAUUGUAAUAAAGAGACUAUCCAAAUUCUAUAAAGUUAGAUACAAAAAAUCGAAUAGACAGUAAAAACCAAAUAACAACCAAUAAAUAAAAUGUUGAACCGAAAGAAAUUAGGCUAACAUUCUUGUUUUUGUUAGCAUUUCAAUAAAAAAAAUAAUGAAUCAGACAAGAAUAUAGGUUCAAUUCAACUGUAAUCGACAAAUAAAAGUAACUAACCAGUCUCUACAGACUAUAACAAAGUUAAAAAAUGUUAAACCUUAAAUGAUAAUGCAUUAGUAUUCAGAAAGUUUGAAUGCAAGAUGUUAUGUAAAAACCUUUGAAAAAAAGAUGAUUGUGAAAGUGAAAUCGGGUUAUAGUAAAAAUGAGUGAGUUGAGUUGGAUAUGUGUGUGUUGGGUUGUGUAGAAUUAUAUUGAAGAAAAUUUUAAUUAGAAAAAAUAUAUUCAUGUAUAUGUUCAUGAAUAUGGCAAAUCAUGUAAUGUAGAAUUUUAUAAAUAAUUAUAGUUCAUUUGUUGUUGCAGCUGAAGGAGAUGGUAAUAGGUUACCCACAUUGGUACCCUAUAGCUGCCACAACUGUAUUCCUCGCCACUUGAUGUUUCUGUUGUUGCUGCUGUUGGAGAUGAUAGUAGGGUAACUUCAUUAGGUAUCCACCUCCCACUGUUGCAUUCUCCGCUGAUUGUUGCGAUUUAUUCUCCAUUAUGUUUUUAAAUGAAGGGCAAUAAUUUCUAUGCUAACAACUACACACGAAGAGAGAAAUGAAAGAAGAGUAAUCAACUUCUGUUGUGCUCUCUUACUUACUUAUGUGCACCCACUAUUUUUACCAAUUAAAGAUGUACUUAUUACCGGAUAAACGGGACAUUAGUAACAAACGAAACCUUAUUUCUUUGAUCGAGGUGGUAGCUGGUUGAAUCAUUUGAGGGAAAAAAGCCUCAUCCUCAUCCAAUUUUUUGUAUUGCUCAAAAAGAACAACGUCUCACAACCAAAAAAAUCAUGAAUUGAACUCGAAAGAGGUUCAAUUAAACUGUGAUAAAGAGACAAUUCAAAUUCUAUAAAGUUAAAAUACAAAUAAUUGCAUAAGCGGUAAAGAAAACAACUAUUAAAUAAAGUGUUGAACCGAAGGAAAUUAGCACAACAAUCAUGUUUCUAUUAGCAUUUCAAUAAAAAAUUAAUGAAUCAGACAUGAAUAUAGAUUCAAUCAACUAUAAUCAACACAUACAAGUAACCAAACAAUCUUCAAAGACUAACACAUAGCUUAAAAAGUUAAACUUUGAAUUAUAACGCAUUAGCAUUUAGAAAGUUCGAAAGCAAGAGGUUUUAAUAAAACCUUCGAAAAGAAAUGAUUGUCAAAGUGAAAUAGAAUCAGAGUAAAAAUGAAUGAGUUGGGUUGAAUAUAUGUGUGUGUGUUGGAUUGUGUAGAAUUAUAUUGAAGCAAUAAUUAAUUUUAAUUAGAUAAAAAUAUUCACGUAUAUAUUAUUUAAGACUAUUUUUUUGACACGUGCAAAAUAUGUCAAAUCAUGUAAUAUAUAAUUUUAUAAAUAAUUUUAGUUUAUUUGUUGUUGACACUGAAGGAGAUGGUAAUAGGGUACCCGCAUUGGUACCCCGCCUUUGCCGCAGUUGCAUUCUCUGUCAAUUGAUGUUACUGUUGUUGCUGCUAUUGGAGAUGGUAGUAGGGUACCACAUUGGGUGCCCACCUCCUGUUGUUGCAUUCUUCGUAGAUUAUUGUAAUUUAUUCUUUAUUAUGCUUUAGACGAAGGACGAUAAUUUCUAUGUUAACAAACACAUAGAGAGGGAGAAAUGGAAGACGACUAAUCUACUUGUGUUGUGCACUCUUACUUGUGUUCACUUUGUGUGCACUUACUAUUUUUACCAACUAAUUUUGUACUUAAUACUGGAUAAACCUAGGGGAGUGAGGUCCACCACAUCAUUAACAGACGAAACCUUAUUUUUUGAUCGAGGCGAUAGGUGGUGAAACUAUUUGAGGAAAAAAUGCCUCAGCCUCAUCUAAUUUUUUGUAUUGCUAGAAAAGAGCAACUUCUCAACAACCAAAAAAAAUCAUGAAUUAAAUUCGAAAAGAAGUUCAAUGUAACUGUGAUAAAGAGGUGAUCCAAAUUCUAUAAAGUUAAAUAUAGAUAAUCGAAUAGCCUGUAAAGACAAAAUAACAACUAAUAAAUAAAACAUUGAACCAAAAGAAAUUAGCACAACAAUCAUAUUUGUGUUAGCAAAUCAUGUAAUAUAUAAUUUUAAAUGAUAUGGCACUUGCUUUGCAAGUAUAUGGCAAAUCAUAUAAUAUAUAAUUUUAUAAAUAGUUAUAGCUCAUUUAUUGUUGCAGUUGAAGGAGAUGGUAAUAGGGUACCCACAUUGGUACCCUAUAGCUGCCACAACUAUAUUCUCCACAAUUGAUGUUCCUGUUGCUGCUGCUGUUGGCGAUGGUAGUAAGGUACUUGCAUUAGGUACUCACCUCCCACUGUUGCAUUCUUCAUUGAUUGUUGUAAUUUAUUCUCCAUUAUGCUUUAGACGAAGAAUGACAAUUGCUAUGUUAACAAACAUAAACGGAGAGAGAGAAAUGGAAGAAGAGUAAUCUACUUGUGUUGUGCUCUCUUACUUGUGCACAUUCAUUAUUUUUACCAACUAAAUUUGUAGUUAUUACCGGAUAAACAGGGGGAGUAAGGUCCACCACAUCAGUAAAAAAUGAAACUUCAUUUCCGUGAUCGAGGCGGUAGCUGGUGGAAUUAUCUGAGGAAACAAUGCCUCACACUCAUUCAAUUUUUUGUAUUGCUCGAAAAGAACAACUUGUCAACAACCAAAAAAAUUAUGAAUUGAACUCAUAAAGAAGUUCACGUAUAUGUUAUAUAAGACCAGUUUUUUGACGCGUGCUUCACACGUGCAUGUCAAAUCAUGUAAUAUAUACUUUUAUAAAUAAUUUUAGCUCAUUUGUUUUAACUGCUGAAGGAGAUGGUAAUAGGGUACCCACAUUGGUACCCUCGUCGCUGCCGCUGCUGUAUUCUUUGUCAAUUGAUAUUCUCGUAUUUGCUGUUGUUGGAGAUGGUAGUACGCUACCUGCAUUGGGUAUCCCGCCGCCACCAUCUUUGCUGCAUUCACGACAUUCUCUGCUGAUCAUUUCGAUUUAUUAUCCAUUGUGCUUAGGCGAUAAUUUCUAUGUUUGCAACCAUAGAGUGAGAAAAUGGAAAAAGAGUAGCCCAGUUGUGUUGUACGCUCUUACUAUUUGUACAAACUAAAUUUGUACUUAUUACCGUAUAAACAGGGAGAGUGAGGCCAACACAUCAGGACGAAACCUCAUUUCUAGUCCGUAACCUCAUUUCUCUAUAAGUGGUAGCUGGUGAUUAACUCUUUUUUUUUUUUGAUAAAUUACUUUUUUUCUUUUCCUUUAUUGGGUUAAUUUUUAUUUACUAUUUUCUUUAUUUUUAUUUUUAUUUUUUUUCUUUUCUUCAAUUAUUUUUUUCUCGUGUUACAUACUCCAUAACUUGAAUUUUUUAUUUUUUUUGUUUUGUUUUUAUUUCCUCCUAAUUUUUAUUUGUAAGUGAAUUAAAAAAAUUCUGUCACUCGACCAUGUUAGCUUUUCUGUUAGUGUAAGAAAAAUUAGAUAUUGAAAAUUUGAAAUUGAAUCUCAUAAAUAAUAAAUUUAUCUUUUGAGUCUAUAUGAUAUUGUUUAUUAUGAUUUAAUAUUAGUAUUAAAGAGAUUUCUAAUAUUUAGAAAUUAAAGAAUCAUCAUAUUCUUUUUAUUAUUAAUGGCAUCUCUUAUAUUACAAAAUUUAAAGCUAGUAGAGUCAAGAAAUGAAUCAAAUUUAAAUCGACUGGAUUCUAAAUAAAUCUAAAUAUUGAUUUUAAUUUUUUUGAUAUCCUUUUCCUUAAAUUUUAGAGUUGCUCCAUCAUUAGAUAGACACCAAAAUAAAAACUAAAAUAUCUUUUAAUUGGUCAUAAACUAAAAAUACGUAAAAUAUAUUAAAAUAUUCUUUACUUUUUGUAAUUUUAAACAUGUCAUGUGAUAAGUUAAAAUUAAAAAUUUUCAGAAAAUGAAAAAUACAUUUUUUUCAAAUGGACUUGUAAAAAAGUGACACAAAUAAAAUUAAAUAAAAAAUAUACUAUAUAAAUUUUAUUUGGUUACAAAUAUCUACAAAUAAGAACUUAGGAGGAAAAAAGCCCAUCAAUUUGAUCAGUUUCAUGAUCACGAAAAAGAUUGAAAAGAAAAAGUAAAAAAAAAGUAAAUAAAAAUUUCCCCCCCUUCCCCCCCCCCCAAAAGCAAAAAAUGAGUUGUUAAAAUAAAAAAGAAUAUGAAGAAGAGGGUUGUGUAAAAUUAUGUUAGAAGAAAUUUUAAUUUUAAUUAGAAAAAAUAUAAUCACAUAUAUGUUAUUUAAGACUUUUUUUUGACACGUGCUUUGCACGUGUAUGUCAAAUCAUUUAAUAUAUAAUUUUAUAAAUAACUUUAGUUCAUUUGUUGUUGGCACUGAAGGAGAUGGUAAUAGGGUACCCACAUUGGUACCCCUAUCCCUGCCACAACUGCAUUCUCCACCAAUUGAUGUUCCCGAUGGUUGUUGGAGAUGGUAGUAGGACACCUACAUUGGGUACCCACCUCCCGCUAUUGCAUUCUCAGUCGAUUGUUGUGAUUUAUUCUCCAUUAUACUUUAGACAAAGGACGAUAAUUUCUAUGUUAACAAACACAAACAGAGAGAAAUGGACGAAGAGUAAUCUGCUUGUGUUGUGCUUUUUUACUUGUGCAAUUUUUGUGCGCACUCAUUAUUUUUAUCAACUAAAUUUAUUCUUAUUACUGGAUAAACGCGGGAGGGGGGGGGAGGUGAGGUCCACCACAUUAGUAAUUAGUAACAGACAAAACUUCAUUUCUUUGAUCGAGACGAUAGCUGGUGGAAUCAUCUGAGGAAAAAGCGCCUCACCCUCAUCCAAUUUUUUGUAUUGCUCGUAAAGAACAACACUGCUCAACAGCCAAAAAAAAAUCAUGAAUUGGAACUCAAAAGAGGUUCAAUUCAAUUGUGAUAAGAGAUGAUCCAAAUUCUAUAAAGUUAAAUACAGAUAAUCGAAUAAACUGCAAAAGCUAAAUAACAACUAAUAAAUUAAAUGUUGAACAGAAAGGAAUUAGCACAUCAAUCAUGUUUUUGUUAGCAUUUUAAUAAAAAUUAAUGAAUCGAACAGGAAUAUAGGUUCAAUUCAACUGUAAUCGACAAAUGAAAGUAACCAAACAAUCUCUAAUGACUAAAACAUAGCUAAAAAGUUAAAACCUUGAAUUAUAACACAUUCAGAAAGUUUGGAUGCAAGAGGCUUGAUGAAAACCUUUGAAAAAAAAUGAUUGUGAAAGUAAAACCCUGUUAGAGUAAAAAUGGAUGAGUUGAGUUGAAUAUAUAUAUAUAUAUAUAUAUAUAUAUAUAUAUAUUGGGUUGUGUAGAACUAUAUUGGAGAAAAAUUUUAUUUUAAUUAGAAAAAAAUAUAUUCACGUAUAUGUUAUUUAAAACUAGUUUUUUGACACGAGCUACGCACGUGUAAGACAAAUCAUGUAAUAUAUAAUUUUAUAAAUAAUUUUAGUUCAUUUGUUGUUGCCGCUGAAGAUGGUAAUAGGGUACUCACAUUGAUACCAUGACAACUACAUUCUCCGCAAUUGAUGUUCCUGCUGCUGCUGGAGAUGGUAGUAGGGUACCUGCAUUGAGUACCCAUUUCUCGCUGUUACAUUCUCCGUCGAUUGUUGCGAUUAAAUUACAAUUUUCCUUUUUUAGUAUGAAUUAUGAUUCAAAGUAAAUCUUAAAAUGCUGGUCAAAGCUUGUAUUAUUUGACUUUAAAAAGAAAAAUCAUUCCAACUAAAAAAGAACGAAGAAAAUAUUUGUUUGGAAAACACGCAAUUCCAUAUAAAAUAAAAACACUAGUUGCAUUCAAAGAUAAUAGAUGAAAAAUAUUCAAAAUUUUGUUUCACGUUUCUCGUUUCUUUCCGAGAAUUACAAGUCACUUUUGUAUUAUUUUGAGUUUGUUUGAUCUUACAGAAGAGAACACAAAUCGAUUGGUCUUUUUUCAUACCUCGUAGGUCUACCAAAGUUAUUUUGCAACCAAACAAAUUAGCAAACCUCUUUGAUUAAACUUAAAUGUAUCGAACUUGUUUUAUUGUGGUGUUUGUAUGUACCACGACUAAUGUAAUUGUUAAAUUCACCCGUACCUCCACUACCUCGUUAAAUUUAGAACUCGAAAUCAAAAUGAGCCACGAAAUUAAAAAAAAAAAAAUGAUCAAAAUAGAUCACAAAUUACCAAAAUAGGAGUUCAGAACCAAAAUAUGUCAUUAAACUAAAAAAAAUACCAAAAUAGAUCAUGUUUUUAAAGUGAUACCAGAAUAUGCUUAACUCUCUUAAAAAGAGAAUUAUAUGUAUUAUUUUUAACGAAAAUGAGCAAAUGAAGUUAAGUUUCAGAAAAUAUACAUAACUCACUUAAUAAGUGAGUAAUGCAUUUUUUUUAACAUCUCUUUUUUUUUACAUAACUCUCUACUAAAGAGAGAGUAAUGCGUUUUAAGUCACACAACUUGUUUAAAAAGAGAGUUAUGCAUUAUUUUCUAUACAUUUUUUCUACAUGACUUACUUAAAAAGUGAGUUAUAUAAUAAAAAUUACACAAUUUGUUUUUUUCCUCUACGUAAAUAUAAUAAAAUUUAUAUCACUCACUUUAUACAAAAUUAUGUGAACAAUUAAUUUAUCUUCUAAAGUUUUAUUUUUUAAAAAGAAGAUUAACUAUUACGAAACGGAGAGAGCAAAACUCACUGAUUAUGUGAGUUAUUCAAAUAUAAAAUAAGUUAAAAAAAUGAGUUAUCCAUUGAAUAUAGCUCUUAAAAUACGUGUGAUAAGUGCAUAACUUUAUUAGUGAUAUGAAAUAUGAAUAUGGUGCGAAAAAUAUAUGAGUUGUGCAAAAAGUUGAUAUGUUCAUAAAAAACGUUUGUCAGUCAUAAAAGUACCACUAGAAAAAAUGUAAAAUUCACAAAAAAUGAGUUAUCCUUCUUAUUUCUAUAAAACACUGUUUUUAAUUAUUUUAAACUUCGCGCAAAACGUAAGAAUUUGUUACGUUUUAUAUAUUUUUUUGAUAAAACGUAAGAAAUUAUUACGUUUUACAAAUAAAUAUGUGAUAAGUGCAUAACUUUAUUAGUGAUAUGAAAUAUGAAUAUGGUGCGAAAAAUAUAUGAGUUGUGCAAAAAGUUGAUAUGUUCAAAAAAAACGUUUGUCAGUCAUAAAAGUACCAUUAGAAAAAAUGAAAAAUUCACAAAAAAUGAGUUAUCCUUUUUAUUUCUAUAAAACAUUGUUUUUAAUUAUUUUAAACUUCGCGCAAAACGUAAGAAUUUGUUACGUUUUAUAUAUUUUUUUGAUAAAACGUAAGAAAUUAUUACGUUUUACAAAUAAAUAUGUAAAACGUAAUAAUUUCUUACGUUUUUUAAAAAGUUAACUCCGUUAGUUGACCGUUAAGAAAAAAAUGAAAAAGGUAAUAAAUUAUUACGUUUAGCCUAUUUUGAUAAUUUUUUAAAUAGAUGGCCUAUUUUGGUCACUUUUUUUAUUUCGUGGCUCAUUUUGGUUCCAAGUUCUUAAAUUUAGCCAAAGAAGGGACUUCACCAUCUCAAAUCAAAUCAAACGACCAUACAAGUGAAAAGUACUAAAAGAGAUCUCAUUUCUUCUAAUCAAUUUAUAUAAGUGAUCAAGAGAUCUCAUUUCCUCAUGACACAAAUUGGAGUAGGAAACACAUCCAUGAUUGGACUAGGAAUUCAAAACGAGAUCAAGAUGUUACCAUAUGAUCGUCAGCAGAUAAUCACAUGAUUGAAUCUCCCCUUCCAAACGGGCAAGCUAGACCACCUCACUGGAAGACCGCAAAUUGGGUAACCCAUACCUGUUAAGGCGAGCCAAAAAAAAGCAAAUGAAAGAACGCGCCAAAAGUAGGAAGAAAUAGAGAACUAGAGACUUGGUCCCAGUUACGAAUACUGAAGUUCGCACAACCUAAUCAACCAGAAAAUAACCAGAAAAUCAUCAGACGCAAGAGAGAAACCUAACCUCCUUUCCUAGAAGCUGACAAGGUAUGAGCAUAAUGGGAGCAGAGUUAUUCCAUCUAGAAAAUUUUAGUACCCAAUUAGAAUACCUUCAAACAACAACAAUCUUAGCGAAGCUCCAAUAAUAUUGAACCGCUGGACUCACUGAAAGGUUCCAUUAUAGCAAGAAAUUUGCACCUACAGAAAAGAGCAACUGCAUUCAAAAUCAGAGACGCAUACCCUUGCAUCCAUAACAGAACAGAUCAUACCUGGGUAGAAUCCCCAUAGGAGAGAGUACCUGGCUAAGAACCACCGUAGGAGAGCAAUAGUAAGAUUGGUAGAUGAAGUAGCAUGUCCAAACCACUGCUCCAGUGCAUUGCUCGAAUUUCCAGAACGCAUCACUUUCCCAAAUCAUAACAAGAGAAAAUAGUAACAAAAUGUCCCUGACAGAAAAAGAAACCCAAAUGCAAUCAAGCCGUGUCAAAAUUCAUUAGCUUCACCAAUCACGUCUGUAGCUACCAAGCAAAACAGAAAUAAUCACAAAUCAUUUUCCAUGACAGACCCCAAAAAGAACUCCAAAUGUGAUCGAGCGGGCUAAAUUCCAUACCUUCACCAACCAUAUCUACAAUUAUUAAGUAGAAGAGAAAUAAUCACAGCAUUUUAUGAACUUUUCAACACCUGAACUCAUGCUUGAGUACCCAAAAGAUUCCACUAAACCAAUUGAUCCAAUUGCAAAAGGGGAACUUAUAUCCCACAAUGAAGAGGAAAUAUCACAUCACGAACCCCAAGAAGGAAGACAUAAUAAACAAGAUGCUGAAGGAAAAUAAAAAUGUUGAGCUAAAAACCACAACCAGGUCAAUGAAAGACGACAAGAAUUUUCCCUGUUAGUACUCCCCGUUGCCAUCUUUAAAUUGACAUCCUAAGUCAGACCAACAGACGAAACUUCUAAAUUGUUCCUUUUAAAAAUCAACAUAUAACUUUUCUGAGAGCUUAUAACUAGAGGUGCAUUAUCCACACCCAAUAAUAACAUCAAUUAACUUUUCAUGUGUUCUACUCCUGAAUCGUAAUUUAAAUCAAUCUGAGAGUGAUAGAUAAAGGAUCACAGGAAAAAGUAACAGUACCACAAUCUCACGGAUUAAAGCAGCUCUUAGACAUUAGCAAUCCCCAGUAGUCCCCAACAACUUUAUACCUGGAAUCAAAGUAACAGCACUGAACAAAUGUGUUAUUUUGAGCACCUCGACAAAAUAACAGCAGCUCAUACUUUUGUGGGAACAAAAGAAAAAAGGAAACCAUCUUAACAUAUAGAUUCCGGCAACUGCAAGCAGAGAAAGCAAGGAUUAGUAAUGCGUGCAAAGAUCAGAGGAAUUCUAUCUAACCACAAAUAAAUUGAUCAGAUUCAGACAUGAAGAGCAAGACAGAGAGGAGUUGGGGGGCGGAGGGAGGAAUAACUAUCCCAUUCUAGAAGCUGACUUCUGGAGCACCAAAAUAUAUCUCUUGCAAGAAGUAUGAUUCAAUACCUGACAUUUUUUGCUUUGAAUUUUACAAGAAGUUAUGCUAACUAGUUGACCAAGUAGAAUAUUCAAAGCUGUCUCACUGGAGUGUGCAGCUUGCCUAGAUGUAAGCAUAGGGCUGCAUACUAUUUGCACCUAUCUUCUUAAAAACAUGAUCCUGAUAAAUGCUUACUCUAACUCCAAGGCCAGAAUAACCAGUUUGUACUAAAUUUGAAGCUGUAGGAAGCUUCACACUUGAAGCAGAAGAUAUUAGCGGUAGGAUAGUUUAUACCCUGCUGCUUCUGGUGGAAGACCAUGGAAAAGAUGAAGCUUGACUUUCUGAGGGCGCAUAUUCACAAAAAUUCUAUGGAGAAGAACGGUCUUUUGACUAUUCAAACCCUAGAAAACAAACAUUACAAAAACAAAAAACUUGAAAAACGAAAAUAAUCCCAUAAAAGAAAAAAGUGUACUAGUAUACAAAGUAACGACGACUUGAAAAGAGAAAGGCAAGCCAGAUUAAGUGUGAAACUAUAAGUUUUAUUGCAUUUUUCACGGAUAAUAUGAAUUAAUGCACUAUCCGGUUUCCGUGAACACCAGAAAAGCACAAAAAGAAGGAACCCAUGAAAGGUUCUGAACUUCACGGAAACUAAACCUAACUAGAAAUAAGAAAAAGGUAUGGAUAUAACAGAGGGGAACUUACAACAAUGUCUAUCAUUAUAUUGUUCGAUCCAUUGAAUUAACUGUAUUAAAACUUCUAAAUCUAACCAUGGUACUAUUCCUUCUAAAUGAAAUAAUUGCAUAUCACAUUCCAAAUCUAACCAUGUUUAUUGAGAAUCUCCAAUUUCUAUCCUUCCCAAAAAAAAGAAGCUCCAUUUUCUUAUUUCCAAGAAAAACAGAUGAGUUUCAUCAAUAAGCCAAAUUUAAAGGACUAAGGACAAACGGAAGAAAGAAUGGACAUGCUUUCUUAGCUUGUCUAUGAAUAGCAUAAGCUUCUUAUUCAGAAACAUAAGAAACUUCUCAACAAUCUUCCUGUUGGAUGGAAAAGAAAAAUUGAACGUCGUGCAACAUGUGGAAUAUUUAGGAAGCCUAAAACAAAACCAAAUUGAUGGAGAAGUUGAAAUUAACAUUUUCGGUACAACAGGACAUAGUAAUGACAAGAUCAGGACACUUGCUCCAGACACAAAAUAAAUGCAUCCUCAUUUCUGAACUUUUUCUCCAAUCAUGUGCCGAAAUCUAUAGGAAACCGGUCAGGCAAUCAUGGGCAAGCGACAAGCUGAAAUACCAAUCUUUUGAAAACCUAAAUUACAGUGGCACGAAAAGCAAUUCUCACCAUCAUUCAAGUUUUCUGAGCACAUAUAUAGUAACUGAAUCCCCACUUUGUGGGAAUACACUGGGUUUGUUGUUGUUGUUGUUGUUGUAUAUAUACUAACUGAAUAUGUUAUUAAACCUCAGAUGCAUCUCUUCAUGCUCAUUUCAUGCUUGAAGUACCAUUUGUACAAAUAAGUUAAUUUAUACAUAUUACUCAUGUGAUCUAUUUUUUUGACCCUAAAAAAAACCUCAAACCAAACUUUUUACGGUUGGCUAUAUGAUUCUUUUUAUCAAUUAUUUUCUAUGAAACUAAAGUAAAAUUCGACAGCUUCAAGAGACAUCUUAAAUCUUCAUUCUUAAACCAUUCUAAUUUAAGAUUCAGAAAAUUUACUUCCUUUAACAGAAGUUACAUAAAUUGAGAUAGACACAUCAAAAAGGCAUUUUUUUCUUCUUAGUAAAAACAUUCACCACAGAAUCUAGAACGGUUACUCACAAUCAAAGCUUCAAAAACCAAAAAAAUUAAUCACUCAAAUAGACUUUAAAGAUGUAUUAUUAAAAGUAUCUAUAUGAACAUUUUAAAGCCUCGAUUAAACAUAGCAGGACAUGAAUUCAGCUAGACAACUAAAUUCGUCUUAACUCCAAAGUCAUCUAGCAACACAAAUUAAAAUUAAAAAGGAAAGGGUUAUAUAUACAUGAUCACAAACACACACACACGCAAAUAUAUAACAUGUAUAUAUAAACCAAUGCAGAAAUCAACUUCUUCAACAGAACAAAUGCAGAAAACAGUUACAGCAAUCCAACUGACGCCAUGCAUGAAACAAAGCAGAAGCAUUUGAUUAAAAAUAGUUUACCUGCAAAAGGAAGCAGUAAUAAAGCGCAUGGAGAGAGUCACUGCUGAAUUUCCAACCAAAAGAAUUUCCUAUACGACAUACUUUAAGCCGAUAGGGUUAGUAACAAAUUUAAUCCCACUAUACCUACCGAUCACGUGUUCAAUAGGCAUUAGCAUGACCAAAUUACUUGUUGAACAAGCAUGUGAACUACAUAAAAAUCUGUGCGAGUUGGAACACUUUCCGUACUUCACACCACCGAUAAAGACAUCAGAUAUCACUUAUCAGUUGUUUCUCACGAUAAUAGAUAAUGACUACGGAUGACAUAUCCCAAGCCUGCAUGGAUAAUCAUUGCAUUGGUAAGAAUUGAAACUUAUGCUUUCGCUCCAUCUUGGCAUCAACACCCAAUAAAGGUUACCACUAUGAAAGCUUGUAUCUCCGAAAGAGAAUCAAUCAUCACCUUCUUUGCAGUACAGAGUAUCAAACAGUCGUGUGAAAGCAGAUCGAUCUAUUUUCUAAAUUUGGAUGCCCACAAAAUCCAGAUAUGCCAAAUCAUUUCCUCCAAUGAUGCAAAAUAUAGAAGUAAUUGAUAAAAGUCUAGACUCAGGCCUGUACAUUCAAUCCUAUCUCCAUACAUCAAUGUGAGAUUGCACAAAAGAUUUAUGUUUUUAUAAGUGAAGCACAGAAUUGUACAAGUACUUCACUCGAUUUAGUUAGGAUUGCCCUAAAUGCAAGUCUUGCUUAGAUAACAUUCCGUUUGAGCGGAGGACCUAUCAGAAACCGGCCCUCUACCCUUUCCUGUCUUCCCCGGUAUGUUGUUGUUGCCUAAAUGCAAGAAGACAAACAUAUAAAAAGCGAAAACAUUUGUAGCUACCACCUGAUAGAAUGAAACUAAAACAAAGAACAAACAUUGUAAUUUUAACAACAAACCUAGUCUCAACUUCUGAGGAAAAAGAAGACAGUUACCACCUUUAACGAAAAUGGAACAAAGCAAUUCGAUUUGACAAAUUUUAUGACAAGGUUACCUUUAACCAUCGACGUUAUGCUGUGCACUGCUCCCUCCGCUGACAUUGAUAUUAUCCUCAGCAUCCUGCCACCGUCCACUGUUCCCUCCGCUAGCAUUGAUAUUAUCCUCAGCAGCUUGCCACCGUCCACUGCUCCCUCUGCUAGCAUUGAUAUUGUCCUCAGCAGCUUGCCACUAUCCACUUCUCCCUUUGCUAGCACUGGUAUUAUCCUUAGCAGCCUGCCACGCCUGACGCUGGAUGUAGACAAAUGGAAAAACCUUAGGCAUAACGGUCCUUCGAAUCAUCACUUCAGACGGAGCAGUCUGCCCCAUGGGUGGAUAGAAGUUUUGAACACCACUUGUUGCAAUCCUUCUAAUCAUCGCCUUAGAUGGAGCAACAGUCUGUCCUAUGGGCGGAUAGAAGUUCUGAACACCACUUGAUGUGGAGCCAAGCAUGCUGGGCCCAAAACCAGUACCCUCUUCCCUGAUCUCAUCCUUAAGAACAAUGUCAACCAGGAAAUAAAAAAUUUCAAUCCGCUCAAUAGCCUUGGUGAUAUCCUUCUACUGCAACAUCCGUCUUUUGUUCUCCUCCGUGUUAAACCAGGAGCGGAAAGCAAGUUCUUGCAUGAACAUUUCACAUUCUUUAGCAAACAACAUUGGUGCUUCCGCGGUGACCUUGGAUACACCCUCGUUAUAUAUCAUCAUCUGUUGAUACGAGCAAGCGGAAAUUUGUUGUUCUUGAAAUCGUUCAUCUCCUUGAUUUCCUUGAGUUGUAACGCCCAAAACGCCUCCAUCUGCUGCUGCUGAAGGAGUUGGUAGUAGGGUACCGGCAUUCGGUACGCUGCCGCCGCCGCUGCUAAAUUCUCCGUCAAUACUGUUCCUGCUGCUGAAGUAGAUGGUAGUAGGGUACCUGCAUUGGGUACCCAGCUAUCGUCGCUGCAUUCUCCUCACAUUGUUGAGAUUUGUCCUCCAUUAUACUUUAGACAAAGGAAGAUAAUUUAUAUGGAGAAAAUGGCCGAAAAAGCAGGUCGGAAUGAAAAUAGGUGAUUUGAGCUAGAUAACAUGUUGAGUUGCGUAGACGACUCAUAGUGGAGAAAAUUUUGAUUUUAAUUAGAAUAAAAUAUAUUUGUGUAUGUUAUUUAUGAUUAAAGUUUUUCGGCACUUCCAUUGCACGCGUGUGCCAGUCAUGUAAUAUUUAAUUUUAACAAUUGGAUUUACAAGUCAAACUGGUAUUAUUUUGUACCUGUUUUAUCUUACAUUUCGUUUUACAAAACUAAAAUGUAGAGGUUAUUUUUGUAAAUAAAUAUUUAUAAAAACUAUACAAGAAAUAUCAUUUCUAAUACAUCAAACCAAACAACGUAGAGGGUAUUUUUAUAAACAAAUAUUUAUAAAAACUCUACAAGAAAUAUCAUUUCUAAUACAACAAAGAAAUAUCAGUUGUUGCUGUUGAAGGAGUUGGUAAUAGAGUACCUUCAUCGAGUAUCCAACUAGCGUCGCUGCAUUCUCCGCCGAUUGUUGUUCCUGUUGCUGCUGUUGAAGAUGGUAGCAGGGUACCUGCAUUGGGCACCCAGCUGCCGCCACUGCAUUCUCCCCCAUUGUUGCAAUUUGUUCUCCAUUAUGUUUUAGACGAAGGACGAUAAUUUCUACGUAGAAGGUGGUCGAAAAACGGGUCAAGGUGAAAAUAGGUGAUUUGGGCUAGAUAACAUGUUGAGUUGUGUUAAUCAUAUUGGAGAAAAUUUUGAUUUUAAUACGAAUAAAAUAUAUUCAUGUAAAUGUUAUUUAAGAGUAUAACUUUUUGGCACGUGUAUUGCACGUGUAUGCCAAUCAUGUAAUGUUUAUUUUUAACAAUUGUGUUUACAAGUUAGAUUGGUAUUAUUUCGUAUCUGUUUUUGUUGAAGCAUAUACUCGGGGGUGGGUGCAGGGCGGACGAUUUUAAAGCGGACUCCCCAUUCAUUAGAUAGAGAAGAUCACCAAGAUUUCGCGAUCCGCUGCCGAAUCUAUUCCAAUUCAGAAUGCUCAUUGAAUGAGCAUUCUCAUCAAUAGGGCGCAGGGAACCAAUAAGAAGCAUUUCCGGGCCUAUCAAACAAACUAUAUACAAAAAAAGCACUUUGCCUAGAAUCCCAAGUUGCCUCCCCUCUCCUCUGAGGCCGAUCGCAUCCACUUUUUGAGCCCCUCGCCUUUGAGUACGGCAGCAGCUCAGACAUAGACCGAAUUAGGGGCCUAAACUCUUGAGUAGAUUGCCCAUGGAAAGGAGCUUACUCCAAGAUCUGACUCCCCCCGUGUAGGAGUUCGGGAAGGCCAGAAGUAAACAAAGAGCGGUAGAAGAGAAUAAAGUGUUGCGCCCAUUCUUUUCUUUCAUAGCUGGAGCAAAUGGAAGGAGACGUCGUGCAAGCCGAAGACUUCUGGGGCGUCAUUUCAUUCUCGUAACGGGAAUGAGUGCACCGUAAGACCAGACAAGUUGCUCCCUCGCCUCGCAGCGGCGGCAUCUGUCUUUUAAGUUAAGUCAUUUCCUAAGACGGCUCCAAGACCUUUGCAAGGAAGGGAAAGGAGGGAGAAUAAGGGAAGGUGGCAAGUAGCUGAUUGCACGCAGUGGAAGGGAAGGAGCCUAAAUCGACCCCCUUCUUUUUUUCUUUGAAAAAAGCAGUAAGGAGUAAGGAGAUUAAACUCUCGGAUGAGACUAAGCAGCUACCGAGAAUCCGAAGCCGGUUGCUAGCGGAAGUAGCGCGACAAAGAGCAAAGCGGAGCAUUCACAAAGAAAUGGUGUAAGCAGAAGGGAAGGCGCAACGGUUAGCGACUGCCCGAGGAGUGAUCCCUCUCUUAUUUUCCCUUUUUUAAGAUAAGAAAAGAGACAAUAAGCCCGUCAACAUUGAAGCUUCCGCUUUUGGCAGCUGUUAGGCAAGUGAUCUUACAUUUUGUUUUACAAAACAAGAGUAUAGAAGGUACUUUUGCAGACAAAUACUAUACAAACUAUACAAGACAUAUUAUUUCUAAUACAUCAAACCAAACAACGUACAGGAAAUAAUGCCAAUAUAACUCAUACCAACUUUAUUAAUGCAUGCAUUACUAAUACACCAUAUUGAACAUUAUUCUUAUUCACUCUACCAAACGAUCCCAUAAUUAAAUAGUCACUAUCCUUAACCGCCUUGAGCUGGAAGGCCCAAAACGCCUCCAACUAUCGUUGUUCUUCCUGUUCCUUUUGUCGCUGUUGAAGGAGUUGGUAGUAAGGUGCCUAUAUCGCGUAUCCGAUCUCCGUUGCAUUCUCCGCCAAUUGUUGUUCCUAUUGCUGCGGUUGAAGGUAGAAGUAGGGUACCUGUAUUGGGUACUCAACUGUCGCCGCUGCAUUCUCCGCCCAUUUUUGCGAUUUGUUCACCAUUAUGCUUUAGGUGAAGGACGAUAAUUUCUAAGGAGAAGAUGGCCGAAAAACGGGUCGGAAUGAAAAUAGGUGAUUGGAGAAAAUUUUGAUUUAAAUUAAAAUAAAAUAUAUUCAUGUAUAUGUUAUUUAAAAGUAUAGUUUUUCGGUACGUGCAUCGCACGUGUAUGCCAGUCAUGUAAUAUUUAAUUUUAAAAAUUGGAUUGACAAGAUUGGUAUAUUUCAUAUUUGUUUUAUCUUACAUUUUGUUUUACAAAACUAGAGUGUAGAAGAUAUUUUUAUAAAAAUAAUACUAUAAAAACUUUACAAGACAUAUAAUUUCUAAUACAACAAAACCAAACAACGAAUAGGAAAUAAUGCCAAUAUAACUAAUACCAGCUUUACUAAUGCAUGCAUUACUUAUACACCAUAUUCAACAUUAUUCUUAUAAACUCCACCAAACGACCCCCCUUAGUUAAAUAGUCACUAUCCUUACUCCUUGAGCUGGAAGGUCUAAAACGCCUCCAACUGUCGUCGUUCUUCCUGUACCCAUUCCUUCUGCUGCUGCAGAAGGAGUUGGAAGUAAGGUACCUACAUCGAGUAUCCAGUCGCCGCCGCUGCAUUUUCCACCGAUUGUUCCUGUUGCUGCUGUUGAAGAUGGUAGUAGGGUACCCACAUUGGGUAUCAAGCUGUUGCCGCUGCAUUCUCAUUCCAUUGUUGCGAUUUGUUCUCCAUUAUGCUUUCGACGAAAAAUGAUAAUUUCUAUGGAGAAGAUGGCCGAAAAGCAGGUCGGGAUGAAAAUAAGUGAUUUGGGCUAGAUACAUGUUGAGUUGUAUAGAAGAAUCAUAUUGGAGAUAAUUUUGAUUUUAAUAAGAAUAAAACAUAUUUAUGUAUAUAUUAUUUAGGAUUAUAGUUUUUUGGCACGUGCAUUGCACGUGUAUGCCAAGUCAUGUAAUAUAUAGUUCUGUAAAAUAAUUUUAACAAUUGGGUUUGCAAGUCAGAUUUUGUAUUAUUUUAUAUCUAUUUUAUCUUAACGAAGAGAGCAAAGUUAGUAUAAUUGAUUUGUCUUUUUCAUUUACCAUGUUUUGUUCACCAAGUCAUGUAAUAUUUAAUUUUAACAAUUGGGUUUACAAGUCAGAUUGGUAUUAUUUCGUAUCUGUUUUAUCUUACAUUUUUAUAUUCAGUAAUAAUUUUACUUAAAAUAUUUAUUUUAUCCUUAAUGAAUUUAUAGUCAUCCUUAAAAAAGUGAGUGAAAUUGCCAAAAAUAGAGGGUGUAUCCACUAUAUAUAAUGUUGUUGUUGCUGAAGGAGUUGGCAAUAGGGUACCUACAUCGGGUAUCCAGUCGGUGUCGCUGCAUUCUCUGCCAAAUGUUGUUCCUGUAUCUAAAGAUGGUAGUAAGGUAUCUGCAUUGGGUACCCAGCUGUCGCCGCCGCAUUCUCUGCAUUCUCCACCGAUUGUUGAGAUUUGUUCUCCAUUAUGCUUUGGAUGAAGGACAAUAAUUUUGAUGGAGAAGAUAGCAGUAAAACGGGUCGGGAUGAAAAUAGGUGAUUUGGGCUAGAUAACAUGUUGAAUUGUGUAGAAGAAUCAUAUUGGAGAAAAUUUUGAUUUUAAUAAGAAUAAAAUAUAUCCAUGCAUAUGUUAUUUAAGAGUACUAGCUUUUUGGCACGUGCAUUGCACGUGUAUGCCAGUCAUGUUAUAUUUAAUUUUAACAAUUGGCUUUACAAGUCAGAUUGAUAUUAUUUCGUAUCUGUUUUAUCUUACAUUUUUAUAUUCAGUAAUAAUUUUAUUUUAAAAUAUCUAUUUUAUCCUUAAUGAAUUUAUAGUCAUCCUUAAAAAAGUGAGUGAAGUUGCAAAAAUGGAGGUUGUAUCCACUAUAUAUAAUGUUGAUAAUCUUGGAAAUGCCGCUCUACUUGUUAAACCCUGUGCUCCUGUUUCCUUCAUCAUGUCUCAUUUUUUUUGAAUCUUCUGAAUGUGAAAAUGUGGAAGUUGCUUAUGAUUCUCCUCGUUCAUAUCAAUGCUACGGUACUGAUAAACGCCAUAAAACGGAUAACAAACCAGAUCGUCUCAGCGCCUUACCAGACCCUCUCAUCCUUCACAUCCUCUCAUCUUGCCAGAUGAAAGAUGUUAUACAAACUGGAGUUUUGUCUAAAAGGUGGCGCCUUUUGUGGACUUCAGCACACAACUUAUCUUUCACCCACUCUCCUGAAUCAAAUCGCGAAGUAACUGAAUUUAUAAAAUCCAUUGAUGAUACAUUGAUUCUCUCCUAAGCCUAGUAAAUAGAAUGAAUUUUCGGUUGAGUCUCUUUAGCAACCGAUUUGUUGACCAUGUUAACAGAUGGAUGAUUUUUGUGAUGAUUAAGUCUGUUGAGGUAGUGGAUUUGAAUCUGAUGAGGACACGAGGUUUCGAAGAGGGUUAUAGCUUACCACAACUUAUGUAUUCCAACGUGUGUUUACGUAAACUGAAGUUGUACAAUUGUAAUCUUGUACCAAAGGAGGGGAUUAAUUGGCCUGCUCUUAGGGUUUUAGCUCUUUGGUUUGUUAAAUUGAGCUUAGAAGUCGUUGAUGCGAUCUGUUCUGGAUGUCCUGGUUUGGAAUCUCUCAAGUUUUGUAUGUGUUUCGGCGUUUCCUGGUUUUUAUAUUAAUUCUGAAAGUGUGAAGAAGUUGGUUAUCGGGGGAUACUUGCAACAAGAACAUGAAGAUAGCGACGACGAUGACGAUGAUGAUAAAGAGCUGACAAUAAUGUUACUUCGCUGGAGAUUAGUGGAUGUCUUCACAACAAAAAUCCAGUUCUCCAGAAUGUGCAAGCUCUAGUCGAUGCUAAGCUAUAUUUUGGGUAGGGAAGACGAUGAAAGUGACUUUAGGACAGAAUAGUCUCUGAAGACAAAAAUACAGCUAAGAAGAUAAAAACAUCGAUCUGAAACGCAUUAUCAUUAGCAUUCAGAAAGUUUGAAGGUUUUAAUGAAAGUUUUUAGGUGGAAAAGAUGGCUGAAAAGCGGGUCACGAUGAAAAUAGGUGAGUUGGGCUGGAUAUACAUGUUGGGUUGUGGAGAAGAAUUAUAUUGGAGUAAAUAAUUAGAAUAAAAUAUAUUCAUGUACACGUUAUUUAAGAUUAUAGUUUUUUGGCACAUGCAUUGCACGUGUAUGCCAAGUCAUGUAAUAUAUAGUUCUAUAAAAUAAUUUUAACAAUUGGGUUUGCAAGUCAGAUUUUGUAUUAUUUUGUAUCUAUUUUAUCUUAACGAAGAGAGCAAAGUUAGUAUAAUUGAUUUGUCUUUUUCAUUUACCACGUUUUGUUCACCAAGUUAUUUUGCAACCAAACAAUAGAAAAAUCUUUGAUUAAAACUUAUAUGCAUCAAACUAUUCUAGUGUUUGUACACAUUCAAUUAGUACAAUAGAGUACUCGUUAAAUUUACCCAUAACAUCCAAAACAACUCAAAUCACACCAAGGAAAAGACCCCACAGAAAAGAUCAAUUUUAAAUUCAAUACUAACAAUGGUACAUUAUUUUUAAAAAAAAAAAAAAAAAAGAGAGAUAUGAAGCACCAUGUCAAUAUAUAUUCCAACCAAUGGUACAUUUUUUUAUUUUUUAUUCCAACCAAUGCUCUAGUACAUUGCUUGAAUUUUCAGAAUGCAUCUGUAACACCUCAAUAUAUAUUGAACAACUGAACUUACUGAAAGGUUCCAUUAUAGCAAGAAGUUUGCACCAAAUAAAUAAGAAAAGAGCAACUGCAUUCGAAAGCCAGGACGCUUCUACCCAUGCAUUCAUAACAACUCAGACCACACUUGGAUAAAAAAAAACCAUAGGAGAGAGUACCUGGGUGAGAAGCCCAGCAGGAGACAAUAACCGUAAAAUUAAUAGUAGAAUUGGUAGAUAAAGCAGUAUGUCCAAACCAAUGCCCCAAGACAUUGCUUAAUUUCCAGAAAACAUGACUUUCCCAAAUCAGAGAACAUAUUAACUAAAUGUACCUGACAGACCCCAAAAACGAAAUUCAAAUGCGAUCAAACCGCGCCAAAUUUCAUAACUUGACCAAUCAUAUCUGUAACUAUCAAGCAGAACAGAAAUAAUCACAAAUCUCCUCCAUGACAAACCACAAAAAGAACUCUAGAUGUGAUCAAGCAGGCUAAAUUCCAUACUUUCACUAACCAUAUCUACAAUUAUUAAGCAGAAGAGAAAUAAUCACACGACUAAACCUCUCACCAGAGAAAACAUUAAUAACUUAUUCAACACCUGCACUCAUGCUAGAGUACCCGAACAAUUCCUCUAAACCAAUUGAUCCAAUUGCAAAUGGGUAACCUAUAUCCCACCAUGAUGAGGAAAAAUUACAUCACAACCCACAAGAAGGAAGACAUAAUAAACAAGACAUGGAAGGAAAAGAAAAAUGUUAAGCUCAGAACCACAGCCAGGUCAAUGAAAGACAACAGGAAUUGUCCCUGUAAGUACUCCCCACUGCCAUCUUUAAAUGAUAUCCGACGCUAGACCACGAGACGAAACUUUUAAAUUGUUCCUUUUAAAAAUCAACAAUUGUAAGUGGAUCAAUUGAUCAAAUUCUGUAUACCUACUGUGAAAUUUUCGCUUAUUAUAAGUGGCAGUCCAGAAUGUUUCUUUCAAUUACAUAGUGGUUGAGGCAAGGUGAUCCCACGUCACCUUUCCUAUUUAUCUUAGCAAUGGAGGUCCAUGAUCAGAAAAGCAAGUGAGAAUAGAUGGAUAAAUGGUUUUCCUGCAAAUGUCAGUAGUGGAAAUAAUAUGCAGAUGAUUCCUCGGUAUUUUGUGAAGCUGAAAUAAGUCAAUAAUUCAGAUCGGACACUCAUCUAUUUUUUAGGGAAUUUCAAGACUCCAUGUCAAUUGGCAUAACAGUAGUUUAUACCCAGUCAACCAAAUUACCAAUAUGGAGAUAGUUGAUGUCAAUUUAGGGUGCCAAGUAGCAUCCCUUCCAACUAAACAUCUUGUUAUGCCUCUUGGUGCUAAGAAUAAAGAAGUGGAAGUAUGGAAUGAAGUGAUGGAAAGAAGUGAGAGAAAGCUGACAAGAUGGAAAAGCCAAUAGCUGUCUUUAGGAGGCAGAUUAACACUCAUUAAAUCAGUAAUGGAUGAUCUCCCCACUUACAUGAUGAGUCUUUUCCCAAUUCCAAGAAGCAUAGAGAAGAAAAUCAACAACUUAGGAGAGUCUUCUUAUGGUAGGGAGAUAAAGAGAAGCUUGGGUACAAAUUAGUAAAAUGGGAUGAGGUGACUCUCAACAAAGCCCAGGAUGGUAUUGGGGUAAAGACGCUGAGCAUGCAGAAUGUGAGUUUGUUGAAGAAGUAGCUUUAGAGGUUCUAUAAUGACGACUUGUUUUUAUGGAGAGGAUUCAUCUCCCAGAAGUAUGUCUCCAAAAUAAUUGGUGCACUGAUAAAGAAGCUGGAACUUUUGGGUGCUCUGUUUGAAAGACUAUCAGAAGACUAAGGCCUCCUUUUAAUUCCAAUUUGUCAUUCAAGAUUGAGAUGGGGUAAAAACUAGUUUCUGGAAUGUAAACUGGAUAGGAGACAGGAACCUGAAAACUUUAUUCCCAGAUCUAUACAUUCUAGCUUGCAAUAGAUGCUGGCAAAGAUGUGGAGCCCUCAAGGUUGAAGCCUGAAUUUUAGGAGGGCUCUAAAUGACUGGGAGAUUAGUAGAGUUGCAGGGCUCUUGCAGGUGUUGAAUAUAUUCCCAGGUGUCUCAGAGGAACCAGAUUGUCCAAUAUGUAAGUUGCACAACUAAGGAAUUUCGACUGUGAAAUCGUGUUACUGGAAUAUGAACUAUAACCAAAUAAUGGGAAUGGAGUGGCCAUGGAAACUAAUCUGAAAGAUCAAAGGCCCUCAUAAGGUGUCAUGCUUCACAUGGUUGGUGAUCAGAAAAGCAUGUUUAACCCAUGAAGUGUUACACAGGAGAGGUACAUAAAUUUGCUCAAGGUGUAGUAUGUGUGAAAAAGAGGCAGAGAUUAACAACCACUUAUUCCUACAUUGCAAAACAGUUAUAAAUCGAUGGGAUAUGUUCUUAUAUGUAUUCUUGGGUUUAACUGGGUAGUGCCCAAAACUACUUCAGACAUGCUCAAACAAUGGGAAGGACGAGGUAGAAGAAGAAAAUCAAAAGAGGACCGGUGGAAAUGUAUUCCAGCAUGCAUUGAGUGGUCACUUUGAAUGGAAAGGAAUGAAAGAUCCCAUGAUGAGCAAGCUAGAAGCAUUCAGAAGAUCAAGAUGUAAAGUCUGAGUUUGUUGUAUUUUUGGUAUAAACAAAAUAUGGUGGGGGAAGUAGAAAGUCUAGUUAACUUCAUAGGCAAAUUGUAAAGUUCUUUUUUUGGGGAUUGAUUCUGCAUGAUACCCCCUGGGGUUGAAAAUCCCAUCUCAUCAGUCUUUUACCUAAUGAAUUUUUUGAUAGGAAUACAAAAGUUACCCGUUAUAACGCCCCCGCAAACUGGUGGUGUCAACAACACCCAACUUGGGAAAAUAGUGAUGAUUGGGCGUCGCAGCAGAGUUAGAGGCAACAAGGAAAGGUUGUGUGGCCAUGAGAGGUGGGGCAAGUGAUGCGGAAGAGGGUUGUACCAUAGGGUUCUAGCACAAAGGUCCAGUGGGCUUAUUUCGGUGCUAGUAAGUGAUUAUUGUGGAUUGUGGUUAAGCGUUUAAAAGGGGAGAUGGAUGAACUGAUGAGGCUGAACCAUUCGGUUGAAGUGAACUGUGGCAGGAAACUAAAUUUUGGAUGGUGAAGGGAAGGGGCAGGGAUGAUGUUGGAGAAAGAGAAGAAGUAUCAGACGAGGAAGAAACUGAAUUACCUAACCCAGUAGUACCUGUUGAGGCAGAGGAGACGAGUGAAUGCAGGCGUGUCCACAGGCUGCUGCACAAUCUGAGUAGGAAACUCAUAAGAAUCAUUUGAACUUUGAGUAUUAACCCGUGGUUGUUCAGUUGAAAAAAUUUCCCAAGAUACAUUUUUAUUUUGUGUAUUUUUCAACAACAUACCAGUAAGUCCCACCUAGUGGGGUCUGAGAGGUAGAAUGUACGCAGUCAAUACCACUACCUCCGAAGAAGUAGAGAGGUUGUUUCCGAUAGACCCGGCUAAAGACACAGAGACGGUAUAUAAGGUCGUAAUAAACCAUGAAACAAGAUGAAAUAACAGAAAAAGGCACCCACAAAGUAAUAUGAUACACUAACACCCCGCAAGUACCCACCUCCCCCAACCCACCUAACUAGAGACUCCCUCUUAUGUGCAAAGGCUUACAACUACUAGCUGGCUACCCCAAACCGAACCUAACUACUGGCUACAACUCACCCACACACACUAACCUACUAACCUGAUUCGAGUUCUCCAUACUUUCCUAUCUAGAGCCAUGUCCUCAGUAAGCUGUAACUGCUUCAUGUCCUGUCUAAUCACCUCUCUCCGAUAUUUCUUCAGCUUACCUCUACCAAUCCAAAGUUAACCUCUCGCACCUCCGAACCGAGGCAUCCGUUCCCCUCCUCAUCACAUGCCCAAACCAUCUCAACCCCACUUCCCGCAUCUUGUUCUCUACCGAGGCCACUCCCACCUUCGCCCGAUUAAUCCCAUUCUUAACCCUGUCUUCCCUAAUAAGCUCACACAUCCAAAGCAAUAUUCUCAUUUCCGCCACUUUCAACUUUUGAAUGUGAGAGUUCUUAACUGGCCAACACUCUGCUCCAUACAACAUGACCGGACGGACUGCCACUCUAUAAAUUUGCUUUUAAGCUUGGGAGGCACUUUCUUAUCACACAAAACUCCUGAGGCUAGCCUCUAUUUCAUCCUCCCUACCCCAAUACGAUGCGUGACAUUCUCAUCAAUCUUUUCAUUUCCCUGAAUCAUAGACCCAAGAUACUUAAAACUAUACUUCAUACAAACAACCUACGAAUCCAACUUCACUACCACCUCGUCCUCCCUUGUCACGUCGCUGAACUUACAUUCCAAGUACUCCGUCUUGGUCCUGCGCAAUCUGACCCUUUUGACUCCAAGGUUUGUCUCCAAACCUCCAAUUUAUCAUUAACACCUCCUCGUCUCACUAAUCAAAACUAUACCAUCCGCAAAUAGCGUACACCACGGCACCUACGCCACCGGCACCCUCUAGCAUCUAAGCAUCUCCAAAGUACCUCCCUAGGGACUUUGUCGUAUGCCUUCUCCAGGUCGAUGAACACCAUAUAUAAGUCCCUCUUUCCUCCCCAUACAUCUCCACUUGUCUCCACACAAGGUGAAUUGCCUCAAUCGUCGAGCGACCGGGCAUAAAUUUGUACUGAUACUCCGAAAAAGACAUGCUCCUCCUCAACCUCCGCUCAACCACUCUCUCCCAAAUCUUCGUAGUGUGACUCAACAACUCAAUGCCCAUGUAGUUGUUGCAACUCUGAAUGUCACCCUUGUUCUUGUAUAAAGGGAUCAUCGUACUCCAUCUCCAAGCCUCGAACAUCUUCACAGUCCUGAAAAUGCCAUUAAACAAUUAGGUCAACCACCUCAAACCUGCCCCGUCUGAAUAUAUCCAAAAAUCCACCAAGAUCUCAUCAGGCCCCACGCCCUACCCUUACGCAUCCUCCGAGUAGCCUCAAAGACCUCAUCCACCCUUAUACAUCUAUAAUAACCAAAAUCAUGACACCCCUCAGAGUUUUCAAACUCCUCUAACACAAUGUCUUUGUCCCCAUCAUCAUUAAAGAGCCUAUGGAAAUACAAUUGCCAUUUUCUCUUAAUGUGAACGUCCUCCACCAGUACUUCGCCAUCUUCCCCAUAAUGCACUUCACUUGGUCAAGGACACGAGCCUUCCGCUCCCUAGCCUUAGCAAACCUAUACAACCUUUUCUUCCCGUCUCUCUCCUCUAAACCCGCAUACAAGUUCUCAAAAGUUGUUGUCUUAGCUGUCGUAACCGCUAACUUAGCUUCCUUCCUAGCUAACCUGUAUUCCUCCCUGUUCGUCCGUUUCUCCUCUUCAUCCUUACUCUCAGUCAACUUAGCAUACGUCACCUUCUUAGCCUCCACCUUCUUUUUAACCUUUUCGUUCCACCACCAGUCCCCUCGAUGAUGGCCAGGUCGUCCCCUCAAGACACCCAACGUCUCUCUAGCUAUCUCCUUAGUAAAACUGGCAGCCCUAUCCCACAUACUAUCAAUGUCUCCCCUACACUCCCGCACCCCCAUCGCUGCCAACCUCUCCCCCAUCUCCAAAGUACUAGCUGGAGUCAAGCCACCCACCUAAUUCUUGGUCGACCAUCUCCACCUCUCCUCUUCUUGCCCUUCUUGAUAUCCACGUCCAUCACCAGAAACCUAUGCUAGGUCGCAAGAUUCUCACCAGGAAUGACCUUACAAUCCUUACACAAUGCUCUAUCCCCCUUCUUAAGCAGCAAAAAGUCAAUCUGAGUCUUGGUUGUGGUCCUCCUUCUUCGAGAAAUUCAACUUCACUACCACCAAUCCAAAGGUCCUCGCAAAAUCCAAAAGAGCAACCCCUUCUUCAUUCCUAUCCCCGAAACCAAAGCCUCCAUGCACAUCGUCAUAACCUCUCGGCAAUGACACGAUGUGCCCAUUGAAAUCCCCUGCUACGAAAAUCUUCUCAGAGCUAGGAAUGCCACUCACCACCUCGUCCAAAACCUCCCAAAAUCUCUUCUUCUCCUCGUCCAAGCCUACCUAAGGCGCAUAAGCCCUACAAACGUUCAGAGUAAACCCUUCAAUGACCAACUUAAUAGUCAGAAACCUAUCACUAACCCUCUAAACCUCCACUACCUGCCCCCUAAGCUCUUCGUGUACUAAGAUACCUACUCCAUUCCGACGUCUCUCACUACCUGAGUACUACAACUUGUACCCGUCCACAUCCCUAGCCUUAGAGCCUACCCACUUGGUCUCUUGGACACACGCGAUAUUAAUUCUCCUCUUCUUAAGAAUCUUUGCGAACUCUAUGGACUUACCCUAAAGGAUCCAUAUAUUCCAGGACCCAAACCCCAACCUAUCAACUCUCGUAUCAUGCUUACCCCGCACCCCAUACCCCACAACUAACCCAACACCAGACCCCGACCCUAACCCCAGCCUCCCAGGACAUGACCCUCGCCUACCAUCCACCACGAAAGCCACCACUCCAACAAAAGCAAAAAAUAACUCAAAAAACAGGCCAAAUACCAAGAACAACAAACAAGAGACACCAAUACAAGGAAGUAGAUAGACCACAACAAAUUAAAAGUCAAGAUAAAAGCGGAAAAAACAUUUUCGAAUGGGAACUGAUUUCCCAAAAAUAAGACGUCGCGAGAUAAAUAUAUUUGGGAGUUCAAGGAUCAAAACAUUGAUGGCAGUACUGUUUAUUCAAAAAUUCUAAAUAAACACAUAGUAUAGAAUGGGGCUCUACUUCUUUUUUUGGCAUAUAACUUGAGCCAUAACACAAACAACCAAAUACUUUAAUGGAGUCAUACUUAGGGAUAGUUUGAAACAAAAUUUGAAAGGGGCUCUUAUGCUGAAGAUUAGGUGUAGUUAGCCUGUUUGUAAGAGAAACAACUUGUUGACAGGCAAAACUCCAAAAAUGUAAGGGUAAAGGCGCUUGGUGCAGCAAGGUUUUAGCAGUUUCAAUAACAUGCAGGUGUCGUCUUUUGACUAGAGCAACUCGAUGUGGAAUACAAGGGGGUGACACUAAGUGUUCUGUGUCAUGUGUUUUAAGAUAGGACAGUAAACUUUGAAAUUCGCCACCACCAUCAGUGUAAAAGAAUUGAAUUUUCGUGUUGAACCUUCGUUCAAGCAAUGGAUGCAAAGCUUGAUAAACUUCCAGUAUUUCAUUUUUUUUAUUUUAAAGUGAACAACCACAUGUAUUUUGAGAAUUGAGCAACAAAUAAAACAUAAUAUCUUUUUUUUUAUCAAUUGACAAAAUCAAAGAUUAACCCAUAAAUCGUUAUAAAGGAUUUACACGGGCUUAUUACUUUGCAAUGAAUUUUCUGAGAAAGUCAACCUUGUGUUUUAUUUGAAUAACAAGAACUACAAAUGGAACAAGCUUUAGGAUCUACAAUAGGAAGGGAAAAAUUACUCAAGAUAGUAUUUAAAACAUUGCAUUGAAGAGAACGAUGUGCACAACCCGGUGGCCACUCAUAUAACUCACCAUAUAACUCAUCUUUAUCCUGCCCACGAACUAGAGACGCCCCCAUACUCAGAUCUUUCAAAAUAUAAUGGGAAGAGAAAAGGUCAAUUCAGGAAAUGAUUAUCAAUGCAAUACUUAGAAACAAAAAUAAUUUUUUAUGAUAGGGGAACAUAAGGUAUUGAGAAGUUUGAAAUGAUAAUUUGAUGCAUUUAUGUUAGCGUUACUGGUAUGAGAUAUUGGAAUGGUGUUACCAUUGCCCAUAGUUAUCCCUUCAGUGCCGUGAUAGUCAUGUAUAGUGGCUAGACUUUGAGCAUCAGAUGUAGUAUGAUGAGUGGCUCCACCAUCCAUGAUCGAAGGGGUUUAUUGAGGAGAAAAACAAGCAGCAAAGUUUGCCUGGACUUGCAGAAGGUCAUGUGACUACGAUCUGCAAACGGUAGACGAAUGACUAAUGUGAUCUAGGGGUGUGCAAAAACCGAACCGAUCGAUAAACCAAACCGAUAAAAAUAUUAUUGGGCUAUAAAAAAAUUAUUGGAUUAUUGUUCGGUUCGAUUUUUUCUUAUUGGGCUAUUGGGUAAAUCGAUAACCAAUAAGACUAUACAUACAUACAUACACGCACACACACAUAUAUAUGACUUAUUAUAUAUUUCUCUUAAUUUCUCUUUAAUUUCUACAAAUCAACAAACUUAUUAUUUCAAUUAUACAAACUCUUAAUUUCUCCUAACAACACUUAGUUCAAACUUGAAGAUUCUUGUAAAUUAAAACACAUCAUGUAGGAUUUUUAAUUGCAACUAAUAAUCGAUUUUUUUCAAUGUUAGUUACGACUAUUUCUAUUUUAUCAGUAUUUUCUUAUUGGUUAAAUCGAAAAUCGAACCGUUAAAGACUGAAAAACCGAUAAAAAAUAUCUUAUUGGUUUAGCAUAUUUAAAAAUCAAAAAUCGAUAAACCGAACCGAUAAUAUGUAGAAUCGAACCGACCGAUACACACCCUUAAUGUGAUCACAAAGUUGGCAGCGAAGGUGUUUGUCAGAGGGCUGCUGGUGGUUGUUUCUACGUGGGUGUUAAGCUCACCAUUGUUGAUUGUUGGCAGGAGUGUUCUCACCUGGACGAUUGCUAGAGUAAGAAGGAGUUGAGCUUGUCUUUUGUGCUAAAGCAGCCGUAAUAGGAGUUGAUAGAGGCUUCUUGGCUUCCUUAUGUUGUAAGAAAAGCUCAUAAUCUAGAAGCUUUUCGUAAAGCUCUUCACAGGAUAUAGGAGAAUCCCGUGCACGAAUGGCAGCAGAGAGUUCUCGAAAUUCAGAUCCAAGUGCAUGAGAAUUUUAACAGUGAGUUCUGGUUUUGAUACCAGUGCACCAAUAGUUGCAAGUUCAUCACAAAGUGAACGAACUUGAUGAAGGUAAUACGUGACUUGACGAGAGUCUUUAGUAAGGCGUGCCAAUCAGUCUAACAGGCUAAAAUUCCUGUUUCAGAUUUGUUUACAUAUGCAAUAUGCAAAGCAUCCCAGGCAAGUUUGGCGGGGACUGCAAUAGCAAAAUUGGCGUAAGUGUAGGAUAAUCGGAAGCUAAGAUAGCAUUUUGAAUUAACUGAUCUUGGUUAUACCAAGGAAGAAACUCAGGAUUAUCAGCAUCUUGAUUGUUUUGAGAGAUGGUGCGAAUAGGAGCAGGGAUGGAGCCAUCGAGAUGCCCAUAAAGAUUGUGACCAUGAAUAAGCAUUGAAACUUGAGCUUUCCACAGCGAGAAAUUGUGACUGCCGGUUAAUUUUAUGGGCAGUUGGGUAACAGGAUUAAACUGCACAACAGUAUCGGCGUUAUCGACUCCAUCGGCAUUGGCCACAGAAGUAUUAGGGGCCAUUUGGACGAGUAAGAAGGAAAAAAAAAGGAUCAACUCAUGGGAGUACUUAGAAGUGCUCCGAUACCAUAAAGAGGCAAAAUCAGAAGAUGGGAAAAUAGUUAUCGUCUUUAUUGAUUGUAUGGCAGGUAUAUAAAGAAUUUGCACAAGAUCUAUAUCAGCCAUGAUAGACUUGGAAAAGGAUAAUGACUAUCCAAUAGAGCCUAAAUAAGAGGAGAAGGUCCAAACAAAUUCCUCAGAAUUAGGACUACAAAAAUAGAACUCUACAGCAGUAAGGUGUCUUGCAUCAACCGUACCGAGUAGGCGCGACAACUUUGUACCUGGAAUCAAAGAAUAUAAGCAUCUUGACAAAAUAACAGCAGCUCAUACUCUUGUGGCAUCAAAAGCAAAAAAGUAAACCAUCUUAACAUAUAAGUUCCAGCGACUGCAAGCAGAGAAAGCAAGGCUUAGUAAUGACUGCAAGAGGAAUUCUAUCUAACCACAAGAAAAUUGAUCAGAUUCAGACAUGAAAAGCAAGACAGAGAGGAGGAGGAGAAGGAGGGGGGGGGAAGAGAUAACUAUUCUAUUCUAGAAGCAGACAGAAGAAAGCACCAAAAUACAUCUUGCAAGAAGUAUGAUUCAAUACCUGAAAUUGUUUAUUUUGCAUUUUGCUUAGAUAGUUGACCGAAUAGAAUGUUCAAAGCUGUCUCACUGGAGCGUGCAGCUUGCGUAGCUGUGGUGGCAUAGGGCUGCAUGAUACAGUGGCACGAAAAGCAAUUCUCACCGAGUAAUGGCAUAGGGCUGCAUACUACAGUGGCAGAAAUGCAUCUUCAUUUCUGAACUUUUUCUCCAAUUAUGUGCCGAAAUCUAUAAGGAACUGGUCAAACAAUCAUGGGAAACCGACAAACUGAAUUACCAAACUUUUGAAGACCUAAAUUACAGUGGCACCAAAAGCAAUUCUCACCGUCAUUCAAGUUUCUCUAAGCACAUAAAUAGUAACUGAAUAUGCCAUGAAACCACGGAUGCAUCUCUUCAUGCUCAUUUCAUGCAUGAAGUACCAUUUGUACAAAUAAGUUAAUUUUACAUAUUACUCGUGUGAUCUAUUUUUCAGAUCUAAAAAGAUCCUCAAGCCAAACUUUUUAGGGUGGGCUAUAUGAAUUCUCUGUAUUAAUUAUUUUCUACGAAACCAAAGUAAAAUUCGACAGCACGCAGACAGAAGAGAUAACUAUUCUAUUCUAGAAGCAAACAGAAGGGAGCACCAAAAUACAUCUUGCAAGAAGUAUGAUUCAAUACCUGAAAUUGUUUAUUUUGCAUUUUGCUUAGAUAGUGGACCGAAUAGAAUGUUCAAAGCUGUCUCACUGGAGUGUGCAGCUUGCGUAGCUGUAGUGGCAUAGGGCUGCAUGAUACAGUGGCAUGAAAAGCAAUUCUCACCGAGUAAUGGCAUAGGGCUGCAUACUACAGUGGCAGAAAUGCAUCUUCAUUUCUGAACUUUUUCUCCAAUUAUGUGACGAAAUCUAUAGAGAACUGGUCAAACAAUCAUGGGAAACCGACAAACUGCAUUACCAAACUUUUGAAGACCUAAAUUACAGUGGCACCAAAAGCAAUUCUCACCGUCAUUCAAGUUUCUCUAAGCACAUAAAUAGUAACUGAAUAUGCCAUGAAACCACAGAUGCAUCUCUUCAUGCUCAUUUCAUGCAUGAAGUACCAUUUGUACAAAUAAGUUAAUUUUACAUAUUACUCAUGUAAUCUAUUUUUCAGAUCUAAAAAGAUCCUCAAGCCAAACUUUUUAGGGUGGGCUAUGUGAAUUCUCUAUAUUAAUUAUUUUCUACGAAACUAAAGUAAAAUUUGACAGCUUCAAGAGACAUCUUAAAUCUUCAUUCUUAAACCAUUCUAAUCCAAUAAGUAAAAGGUGCCAAUUAUAAUUCUGAAAAUUUACUUCCUUUUAUAGAAGUUACAAAUUUGAGAUAGACACUUCAAACGGAACUUUUUUCUUCUUUGAAAAAACAUUCACCACAAAAUCUAGAACAGAACCUUACAAUCAAAGCUUCAAAAAACGAAAAUAUCAAUCAAUAAAUAGAGUUUAAAGAUGUAUUAUGAAAAGUAACUAUAUAAAGAUUUUAAAGCCUUGAUUCAACAUAGCAGAAGUGAAUUAAGCAAGAUAAUGAAAUAACUCUAACUAAAAAGUGAUCUAGCAACACAAAUUAAAAAUAAAAAGGAAAGGGUUAUAUAUAUAUAACAUGUACAUAUAAACCAAUGCAGAAAUCAUCUUCUUCAAUAGAACAAAUGCAGAAAACAGUUUCAGCAAUCCGAAUGAAGCCAUGCAUGAAAACAAAGCAGAAGCAUUUGAUUAAAAAUAGUUUACCUGCAAAAGGAAGCAAUGGUGAACAGCAUAGAGAGAGUUGCUGCUGAAUUUCCACCCAAAACAAUUUCCACUUCUAGCUAUAUAGAGUAUUGAUCAAUUCAGAAUUUCGACAACCCUAGAGGAAUCUGCAAUUUUGGCAGGUAAAACAGUUCAUUAAAAAAAGAGAAAAAAUAGGAGAAAAGGCUUUCUUUUCCUGAAUGAAAAGUAAUCUUUUCAGGUUUGGCCCGGCCCUAUUUAUUUUGACCUUUUAUAGCUGCGGGGAGAGGGGAAGUAUGGGUUAAACCUUUACCAUGAUUAAUUUUAAACCAUAAUUCAACUUUCCAACUUUUUAUUAUUUGGAGAAGAUAAAUUUUAAAAAAGAUAUUUUGGAGUUUAUAAAUUAAUUGUUUGUUCCUUGCUAAUUGAAUUCCUGACUAUAUUAUAAUUCCUCAAAUAGAUAGGAAUUCACAUUUUGACUUCAUCGUAAUAUCUAAGAUCUAUUUCAAAUUUAGUUAACUUUGCCUUUCUUACUACUCCCUACGUCUUCUUUUCGUAUCAGAUUCUGGAGAUUCUCUUUCAUUGCUUCAUCAUCAUUAGUACUGAGAUUAAUGAGUUGAUAGAGAUGAAGAUGAAGAAAUAGUGUACUGUCCUCCUUUUGAGCUUUCGGAAUGUUGUUAGCUUUCCUUUUUUGUUUUCUUUUUGCUUUUUGUUAUUUUUACCUGUUUCCAGGUUGGGUUUGGGGCCUUGACCUGGUUUUGGGUUCAGUUUGUACGUCUUUCUUUUUGGUUAAUAAAAAGGCCCAUGGGGCCCUAUGCCUUUAAUUUAAAAAAAAAAAAAAUACUCCCUACGUUUCAAUUUGAUUGCCUUACUUUCCUUUUUAUUCCGUUUAAAAAGAAUAUCUUUCCUUUUUUGGAAAUCUUUAGCUUGAACAAUUUAAGACCACAAGAUUCGUUUGAACAAUUUAAAACCACAAGAUUCGAAAGUGUUUUACUUUCCUAAACUCCGUGUCUAGUCAAAAUUAGACUAACAAAAUAAAGCAGAGGGAGUAAGAGAAAGCAAGUAAAUAAGGCAAAAAAAUUUAUUUAUGAAGUGUUUCCUUUUUACACCUUUUUCAAGAAUGAAGUUCUUGGUUUUCAUUUACCUUAACUUUUUCAGCCACAAACUGACAAUAUAGUUGGCACUAAGUUCAUGAUUAAGAAUCUGGUUUAAAGUUUUAAUGACUGAGAUAUAUCAGUUGUAAACUAUCUCUUACAACUUAAUUGUCUUUAUCUGAACCUUUCCAGUUGUGUGACCGAAAAAAUAGUCUUUGGGGAAACCUCCUAUAUCUUCACAUUCCUUGCUAUUUUUCUUCGGUCUUUUAAAUCAACAUCCUGAGAAAAGAGUUUUGAAUUUCUGACUACAAUUAAACUUCCUUGAAUAGAUAGGAAUUCAUAUUGACUUCAUAAUAUCUAAAAUCUAUUUCAGAUUUAGUUAACUUUGACUUUAGGACUAAAAGAACACAAGUAAAUAAGGAAAAAAAUUUAGCGUUGAAGAUUUUGAUUCAUGGUCUUUCGGUGAAGGUGCAAAUACUAAUUAUACUUCCUUGAAUAGAUAGCAAUUCAUAUGUGACUUGCAGCAUAAUAUCUAAAAUUUAUUUCAGAUUUAGAUAACUUUGAUUUUCUUACUAAACGAACGCAAGUAUGGAAAAAAAUUUAGUGUUGAAGAUUUUGAUUCUUUAUUUUUCGGUGAGGAUGCAAAUAUUAAUAUUCAGAUCACCAUCUACUANNNNNNNNNNNNNNNNNNNNNNNNNNNNNNNNNNNNNNNNNNNNNNNNNNNNNNNNNNNNNNNNNNNNNNNNNNNNNNNNNNNNNNNNNNNNNNNNNNNNNNNNNNNNNNNNNNNNNNNNNNNNNNNNNNNNNNNNNNNNNNNNNNNNNNNNNNNNNNNNNNNNNNNNNNNNNNNNNNNNNNNNNNNNNNNNNNNNNNNNNNNNNNNNNNNNNNNNNNNNNNNNNNNNNNNNNNNNNNNNNNNNNNNNNNNNNNNNNNNNNNNNNNNNNNNNNNNNNNNNNNNNNNNNNNNNNNNNNNNNNNNNNNNNNNNNNNNNNNNNNNNNNNNNNNNNNNNNNNNNNNNNNNNNNNNNNNNNNNNNNNNNNNNNNNNNNNNNNNNNNNNNNNNNNNNNNNNNNNNNNNNNNNNNNNNNNNNNNNNNNNNNNNNNNNNNNNNNNNNNNNNNNNNNNNNNNNNNNNNNNNNNNNNNNNNNNNNNNNNNNNNNNNNNNNNNNNNNNNNNNNNNNNNNNNNNNNNNNNNNNNNNNNNNNNNNNNNNNNNNNNNNNNNNNNNNNNNNNNNNNNNNNNNNNNNNNNNNNNNNNNNNNNNNNNNNNNNNNNNNNNNNNNNNNNNNNNNNNNNNNNNNNNNNNNNNNNNNNNNNNNNNNNNNNNNNNNNNNNNNNNNNNNNNNNNNNNNNNNNNNNNNNNNNNNNNNNNNNNNNNNNNNNNNNNNNNNNNNNNNNNNNNNNNNNNNNNNNNNNNNNNNNNNNNNNNNNNNNNNNNNNNNNNNNNNNNNNNNNNNNNNNNNNNNNNNNNNNNNNNGAACUGGUCAAACAAUCAUGGGAAACCGACAAACUGCAUUACCAAACUUUUGAAGACCUAAAUUACAGUGGCACCAAAAGCAAUUCUCACCGUCAUUCAAGUUUCUCUAAGCACAUAAAUAGUAACUGAAUAUGCCAUGAAACCACAGAUGCAUCUCUUCAUGCUCAUUUCAUGCAUGAAGUACAAUUUGUACAAAUAAGUUAAUUUUACAUAUUACUCGUGUGAUCUAUUUUUCAGAUCUAAAAAGAUCCUCAAGCCAAACUUUUUAGGGUGGGCUAUAUGAAUUCUCUGUAUUAAUUAUUUUCUACGAAACCAAAGUAAAAUUCGACAGCACGCAGACAGAAGAGAUAACUAUUCUAUUCUAGAAGCAAACAGAAGGGAGCACCAAAAUACAUCUUGCAAGAAGUAUGAUUCAAUACCUGAAAUUGUUUAUUUUGCAUUUUGCUUAGAUAGUUGACCGAAUAGAAUGUUCAAAGCUGUCUCACUGGAGCGUGCAGCUUGCGUAGCUGUGGUGGCAUAGGGCUGCAUGAUACAGUGGCACGAAAAGCAAUUCUCACCGAGUAAUGGCAUAGGGCUGCAUACUACAGUGGCAGAAAUGCAUCUUCAUUUCUGAACUUUUUCUCCAAUUAUGUGCCGAAAUCUAUAAGGAACUGGUCAAACAAUCAUGGGAAACCGACAAACUGAAUUACCAAACUUUUGAAGACCUAAAUUACAGUGGCACCAAAAGCAAUUCUCACCGUCAUUCAAGUUUCUCUAAGCACAUAAAUAGUAACUGAAUAUGCCAUGAAACCACAGAUGCAUCUCUUCAUGCUCAUUUCAUGCAUGAAGUACCAUUUGUACAAAUAAGUUAAUUUUACAUAUUACUCGUGUGAUCUAUUUUUCAGAUCUAAAAAGAUCCUCAAGCCAAACUUUUUAGGGUGGGCUAUGUGAAUUCUCUAUAUUAAUUAUUUUCUACGAAACUAAAGUAAAAUUUGACAGCUUCAAGAGACAUCUUAAAUCUUCAUUCUUAAACCAUUCUAAUCCAAUAAGUAAAAGGUGCCAAUUAUAAUUCUGAAAAUUUACUUCCUUUUAUAGAAGUUACAAAUUUGAGAUAGACACUUCAAACGGAACUUUUUUCUUCUUUGAAAAAACAUUCACCACAAAAUCUAGAACAGAACCUUACAAUCAAAGCUUCAAAAAACGAAAAUAUCAAUCAAUAAAUAGAGUUUAAAGAUGUAUUAUGAAAAGUAACUAUAUAAAGAUUUUAAAGCCUUGAUUCAACAUAGCAGAAGUGAAUUAAGCAAGAUAAUGAAAUAACUCUAACUAAAAAGUGAUCUAGCAACACAAAUUAAAAAUAAAAAGGAAAGGGUUAUAUAUAUAUAACAUGUACAUAUAAACCAAUGCAGAAAUCAUCUUCUUCAAUAGAACAAAUGCAGAAAACAGUUUCAGCAAUCCGAAUGAAGCCAUGCAUGAAAACAAAGCAGAAGCAUUUGAUUAAAAAUAGUUUACCUGCAAAAGGAAGCAAUGGUGAACAGCAUAGAGAGAGUUGCUGCUGAAUUUCCACCCAAAACAAUUUCCACUUCUAGCUAUAUAGAGUAUUGAUCAAUUCAGAAUUUCGACAACCCUAGAGGAAUCUGCAAUUUUGGCAGGUAAAACAGUUCAUUAAAAAAAGAGAAAAAAUAGGAGAAAAGGCUUUCUUUUCCUGAAUGAAAAGUAAUCUUUUCAGGUUUGGCCCGGCCCUAUUUAUUUUGACCUUUUAUAGCUGCGGGGAGAGGGGAAGUAUGGGUUAAACCUUUACCAUGAUUAAUUUUAAACCAUAAUUCAACUUUCCAACUUUUUAUUAUUUGGAGAAGAUAAAUUUUAAAAAAGAUAUUUUGGAGUUUAUAAAUUAAUUGUUUGUUCCUUGCUAAUUGAAUUCCUGACUAUAUUAUAAUUCCUCAAAUAGAUAGGAAUUCACAUUUUGACUUCAUCGUAAUAUCUAAGAUCUAUUUCAAAUUUAGUUAACUUUGCCUUUCUUACUACUCCCUACGUCUUCUUUUCGUAUCAGAUUCUGGAGAUUCUCUUUCAUUGCUUCAUCAUCAUUAGUACUGAGAUUAAUGAGUUGAUAGAGAUGAAGAUGAAGAAAUAGUGUACUGUCCUCCUUUUGAGCUUUCGGAAUGUUGUUAGCUUUCCUUUUUUGUUUUCUUUUUGCUUUUUGUUAUUUUUACCUGUUUCCAGGUUGGGUUUGGGGCCUUGACCUGGUUUUGGGUUCAGUUUGUACGUCUUUCUUUUUGGUUAAUAAAAAGGCCUAUGGGGCCCUAUGCCUUUAAUUUAAAAAAAAAAAAAAAAUACUCCCUACGUUUCAAUUUGAUUGCCUUACUUUCCUUUUUAUUCCGUUUAAAAAGAAUAUCUUUCCUUUUUUGGAAAUCUUUAGCUUGAACAAUUUAAGACCACAAGAUUCGUUUGAACAAUUUAAAACCACAAGAUUCGAAAGUGUUUUACUUUCCUAAACUCCGUGUCUAGUCAAAAUUAGACUAACAAAAUAAAGCAGAGGGAGUAAGAGAAAGCAAGUAAAUAAGGCAAAAAAAUUUAUUUAUGAAGUGUUUCCUUUUUACACCUUUUUCAAGAAUGAAGUUCUUGGUUUUCAUUUACCUUAACUUUUUCAGCCACAAACUGACAAUAUAGUUGGCACUAAGUUCAUGAUUAAGAAUCUGGUUUAAAGUUUUAAUGACUGAGAUAUAUCAGUUGUAAACUAUCUCUUACAACUUAAUUGUCUUUAUCUGAACCUUUCCAGUUGUGUGACCGAAAAAAUAGUCUUUGGGGAAACCUCCUAUAUCUUCACAUUCCUUGCUAUUUUUCUUCGGUCUUUUAAAUCAACAUCCUGAGAAAAGAGUUUUGAAUUUCUGACUACAAUUAAACUUCCUUGAAUAGAUAGGAAUUCAUAUUGACUUCAUAAUAUCUAAAAUCUAUUUCAGAUUUAGUUAACUUUGACUUUAGGACUAAAAGAACACAAGUAAAUAAGGAAAAAAAUUUAGCGUUGAAGAUUUUGAUUCAUGGUCUUCCGGUGAAGGUGCAAAUACUAAUUAUACUUCCUUGAAUAGAUAGCAAUUCAUAUGUGACUUGCAGCAUAAUAUCUAAAAUUUAUUUCAGAUUUAGAUAACUUUGAUUUUCUUACUAAACGAACGCAAGUAUGGAAAAAAAUUUAGUGUUGAAGAUUUUGAUUCUUUAUUUUUCGGUGAGGAUGCAAAUAUUAAUAUUCAGAUCACCAUCUACUAACUUCCUUCUCUAUUUUUUGAAUAUAAAAUUGAAAAUACCAUUUAUGGCAUUUUUCCUUUUCCUCCUUUUUCAAGAACGAAUUCCUUAAUUUUCAUUUAUUUUAUCUUUUUCAACUAACAUAGUGACAAUGAAGUUAGCACUAAGUUGAUGAUUCAGAAUCUAGUAUAAAGUUUUAAUGUCUCAUCUAUGAUUUAGCCAUGAUUUAGCACUAAGGAACAUCGCUGUAUAUCAGACUGAAAAUGACUUUUUCACUCAGAUACCGUCCUAAAAAUAAAAGUUGGACUCAAAACUAUGAGUUACCACUUGUUGUCUUUAUCUGAUCCUUUCCGGUCUAUGUAAUCACUUGACUAACAAAAUAUUGUCUUAUGCAAAACCUCUUACACUGCUUAAUGCUAAAGCUGAGAUCUCUUUACAUUCACCAAGAAAGGACAAAAGCAGAUAAAGCUUGUAAGGAAGAGAAGGAACAAAUAUGUUCUCCAUUCCUUCAAAAAAUAUUAAUGUACGACAAAAUAGAGAUCAUGACAUAUGACCAAGAAUUGCAUAUGACUGUAAAGGUGGAAAAUGGGAGGGUUGGGUCAAAUUCGGGCGCAUCAAAAUGGGUCAAAGCAAUUAUUGGGUCCCCGCCAAAAAUGGUUGGGUCAAGAUGGGUCAAACAACAGGUCAUAAACCAAUAUCUCCCCUCUUUCAGAACAUAUCACUGUUGUUAGAAGAAACUCAUUGACGUUUUGCAUUUGGGGAACUGGUAAUAUGUAUUAGAGUGUACCCGCGUCUAUGAUUCAAUGACUUGUCCAUGCCAAUGUGAUUUAAUCUAACUAAUUAGACUAAUUGUGCCAUCUAAGCUUACCAAAAAAAUUUGGCCUGAUUUAGUUAUGUUGAAAUUGCACAAAUGAUGGAAACAGCCUUUCUACUUCAUCAGAGGUAGAGGUAUGGACUGCGUACAUCUUACCCCCCAGACCCCACUAAGUGGGAAUACACUGGGUUUGUUGUUGUUGUUGUUGUUGAAAUUGCACAAAUGAUGGAAGAAACAAAAUCAUAAUUACCCUAGUCACCAAAUUUAUUUCAGAUUUAGUUAACUUUGAUUUUCUUAUUAAAUGAACGCAAGUAAGUUAAAAGGGCAGCCCAGUGCACUCAAGCUACCGCUAUGCGCAGUGUCCAGGGAAGGGCCCCACCACAAGGGUAUAUCGUAUGCAACCUUACCUUGCAUUUCUGCCAGAGGCUGUUUCCAAAGCUUGAACGCGUGACCUUCUGAUCACAUGGCAGCAACUUUACUAGUUACUCCAAGGCUCCCCUUCGAAACAAACGAAGUAUGGAAAGAAUUUUUUUUUUUUAUUCUUUAUUUUUCGGUGAAGGUGCAAAUACUAAUAUUCAGAUCACCAUCUACUAACUUCCUUCUCUAUUUUUUGAAUAUAAAAUUGAAAAUACCAUUUAUGGCGUUUUUCUUUUUCCUCCUUUUUCAAGAACGAAUUCCUUAAUUUUUAUUUACUUCAACUUUUUCAACUAAAAUAGUGACAAUGAAGUUAGCACUAAGUUGAUGAUUAAGAAUCUAGUAUAAAGUUUUAAUGUCUCAUCUAUGAUUUAGCCAUGUUUUGCUAUUGCGGAGUUGCGAUAUAUACAUUAAGUAUAAUAUUCCUUGCUAAAUUUUCUUCCGUCUUCUAAAUCACAUCCUGGAAUGUUUUUUGAAUUUCUGCCUUCCUUGAAUGGAUAGGAAUUUAUUACAGAUUUACUUAACUUUGACUUUCUUACUAAAAGAACGCAACUAAAUAAGGAAAAAAAUUUAGAGUUGAAGAUUUUGGUUCUUGGUUUUUUGGUGAAGGUGCAAAUACUAACUUCCUUUUCUAUAUUUUGAAUAUCAAAUUGGAAAUAUUAUUUAUGACGGUUGUCCUUUUCCUCCUUUUUCAAGAAUGAAGUUCGUAUUUUACAUUUACCUUAACCUUUCCAACCGACAUAGUGACAAUGAAGUUAGCACUGAGUUGAUGACUAAGAAUCUGGUGUAAAGUUUUAUUGACUGAUAAGAUUUAGUCAUGCUGUUGAUACUGCUGAACAGAGACUUGUAUUACUCAGUGCUUCUGCACUAAUAUUAAAGGUCUAAGACUUCAAUUUUGCAGAAAACAAAUUGAACUCUGAUUUGUGUCAUCUGGUUGACCUAAAAGCUGGAAGGAACAUCGCUGUGUAUCAGACUGAAAAUGACUUUUUCACUCAGAUACCUUCCUAAAAAUAAAAAUUGGACUCAAAACUAUGAGUUACCGCUUGAUGUCUUUAUCUGAUCCUUUUCGGUCUAUGUAAUCACUUGACUAACAAAAUAUUGUCUUGUGCAAAACCUCUUACACUGCUUAAUGCUAAAGCUGACAUCUCUUUUACAUUCACCAAGAAAUGACAAAAGCAGAUAAAGCUUGUAAGGAAGAGAAGGAACAAAUAUGUUCUCCAUUCCUUCAAAAAAUAUUAAUGUACGACAAAAUAGAGAUCGUGACAUAUGACCAAGAAUUGCAUAUGACUGUAAGGGUGGAAAAUGGGCGGGUUGGGUCAAAUUCGGGCGCAUCAAAACGGGUCAAAGCAAUUAUUGGGUCAAGAGCCAAACCCGCCAAAAAUGGUUAGGUCAAGAUGGGUCAAACAACAGGUCAUAAACCAAUAUCUCCCCUCUUUCAGAGCAUAUCACAGUUGUAACAACGAAGAAACUCAUUGAUGUAUUAGAGUGCACCCGCGUUUAUGAUUCAAUGACUUAUCCAUGCCAAUGUGAUUUAAUCUAGCUAAUUAGACUAACUGUGCCAUCCAAGCUUACCAAAAAAAUUUGUCCGGAUUUAGUUAUGUUGAAAUUGCAUAAAUGAUGGAAGUAACAGAAUCAUAAUUACCCUAGUCACCAAAUUCCGCAUCUACAUCAUUGAUCACUAGGCACACUAAUCAUCCCAUAGUCAAAACACUCAAGGUCAGAAAGAGAACUGAUUAGAGUAACAAUCCACAAUUGUUAUGCGAGAAGUAAGGUAAGUUUACCAUAACACAACCAGAACACCAUAAGCAUUCUGAUAAACUACACAAGUUUAUACAAACGAAACGACUAAAGGAUUCAAGUUAUUACAGUUAAGCCAGUACCAUGGACAGUAGAAUUAAGCUGCAUUCACAUUCGAGAGGACCUGUAGCAUGAGUAACUAAGAGCUAUCGUUGUGGCAUCAAGCAUUUGAUCAGCAGCAAACAUGAUCUUCCACUGCAGCAAGAUCUAUUAGAAAAGUAGUACAAAGAAUUACUAAUUGAUCCAUAUGAAUGAGAAAUCAGUUUUGCAUCUCAAACAGAACCAUAUGAAGAAACUCCUGUAAACAAAUACUAAAUAGAUAAAUUAGCCGCUUUCCAUUGCAAGUGCAACAAUAUCAAGAAACUACAACCCAUAAACAGAUAACUGUGGAGUAAGUUUCUUUUUUCGAGACUACAUAUUUAACGAUAGCAAUCAUGUCAUGUAAGUACCACGACAUGCCACAAAUGAGUGAAAUAACAUGAAUACAAGCAUAUUAAUGAAUAGGGGUUGAAUAAAUAGGGCAAUGGAUAGAGGCUGUCGCAAGGAUAAGUUCAGCAUCUAAGAAAAGAAAGCACAAGGACAGUGCAAAGUCACCAUGAACUAGCUAACAAGACUAUACGCAAUCAGUAUCAGAUCUCCCAAUGCAUUUUCUCUAUCAAAUAAUAAAAUGACAUACAUGAAUUUACAGAGCAAUUAGAUCAAGCAUGCACAUGACACACAUCAGAAUAUGGCUAAGAAUCACAUUUGAACUCCAAAUGUGAUGGUUGCUGAGAUAUUUGGCAACCUAAACUGCAUUCACGUUUAUGCUGCUCACACCUGAUUUUUGGCAUUUGCAACUCAACAUCCUAUUCCUACAUUAACAUUACUAAGCAUGAUUGUGUCAGAGCCAACAUUCGACGGGUACCUACUAGAUUAACAUAGUUCUCCAUCCUCUACAACCGUGAUGGAGAUAAGUACUAGAAAUAAUCCAUCCUCUUCAAUUUCCUUUUAUUUUCUUCCCCUUCCUCUUCAUUCAAAUAGACUAGCCCUAAAAAGAAGAGGGAUCAAAGAGGAAAAAAAUAAAGUUGGAUUUAAAGAAUUUAAUCUACCCGACCAUCAACCUCUCUACUUCUUCGGAGGUAGCGGUAUGGACUACGUACAUCUUACCCUCCUCAGACCCCACUUUGUGGGAACACACUGGGUUUGUUGUUGUUGUUGUUGUUGAAUCUACCCGACUAUGAGAAUCAAACUGAUUAAUAUUAUAUUUAUCUUCUGGAAGACACUGAAGUAACCCUAAAUCAUUUUCCAAAUGAAAACAAGAUAAAUAUAAACGUUGAUCAUCCAUUAACUAUAUAUAAUGUCAGUUGAGCAAGUGGUUGAAGUAACCCUAGUUAAGUUUUCAAUUAAAACAAAGAAAGAAAACUAAGUUUGGAACAUCCGAACACAUAUAGCUCAAAUCUAAAAUUGGUCUAUAAUUUUUUAUUUGCUUAUCUAGGGUUUUUGGACCUGACAAUCGAAUGAAUCAAAAAAUAGAUGACAGGAUGAAACAUGAGUUACAUGUCACUGCCUAAACCUUUUUGUUGAGCGAAAUUAAGCUGUUGAAGUAACAUCUUAGGUAUGAUGAGAACUUAAUCACCGAAAAGAAAGUCACUUCAAAGUUUUCAUCACCAUAGUAGCAUAUAAUUUAGGCAAGAUGGUUUGUUCUCUGAAAGUCAAAUAUAACAUCCACUCAACAACAACAACAAACCCAGUGCAAUCCUACAAGUAGGGUCAUCAGAGAUAGGAUGUAUGCAGACUUAUCCUACCUUUGCGGGUUAGAGAGGUUGCUUUUGGGAAUCCCACAACUACUUCCACUCACACCCUAAAACCGCAUCAUAAGAUGGUGAAUGUUUUUGUUACUCUAGCUUCAUUGAGAAUCCAAAGUGGAAAACCCUUACUGACACGAUUGCAGGAAACAUAUAGAUGUACCUCUAGUCUUCUAACAUGAAGAGAAAGCCAUUGACGCGUUAACUGCUCAUGCAAAGUGUCAAAUCUCUGGUACCAUAGCUGUCCUGGUUUCUCUAUCUUGGCAUUCACGCAAACGACAAAAAAGGAGAAAAUAAAUGGUUACAACUAACCAAAUCCAACUAUCCUAGUUGUUCGGACUUGCUCUGGAUUUACUAUCCAAUACAACAUACAUUAAGUCGACGGGGUUGGUAACAAAUUUAAUCCCACUUUACCUACCGACCACGUGUUCAAUAGACAUUAGUAUGACCAAUAAUUACUUGUUGAACAAGCAUGUGGAAUACAUAAAAAACUAUAAGAGUUGGAAACACUUUCUGUACUUCGCAACAUCGAUAAAGACAUCAGAUAUCACUUAUCAGUUAUUUCUUAUGAUACUAGGUAAUGGCUACGGAUGACACAUCCCAAGCAUGCAUGUAUAAUCAUUGCAUUGGUAAGAAAAUUGAAACUUAUGUUUUGGCUUUAUCUUGGCAUCAACACCAGUAGUGGAAAAAGCUUGUAAUUUCCUAGUAAGAGAAUCCAUCAUUAACUUCUUUAUAGUACAGAGUAUCAAACAAAUGUGCGAAAGUACAUCGAUCUGUUGUCUAAAUUUGCAUACCCACAAAAUCCAGAUAUGCCAAAUCAUUUUCUCCACUAAUGCAAAAUAUAGAAGAAGUGACUGAUAAAAGUGUAGACUCUCGACUGUACAUUCAACUCCUAUCUCCAUACAUCAAUGUGAGCUGCAGAAAAGGUUCGUCUUUUUAUAAGUGAUGCACAAAAUUAUACAAGUACUUUACUCGAGUUUAGUUAAGAUUGCCAUAAAUGCAAGUCUUGCUUAGAUAACAUUCCUUUUGAGAAGAUGGUCUAUCAAAAACCACCCCGCUACCCCUUAGUUAUACAAGUACUUCACUCGAGUUUAGUUAAGAAUGCCAUAAAUGCAAGUCCUGCUUAGAUAACAUUCCUUUUGAGCGGACGGUCUAUCAAAAACCGCCCCUCUACCCCCUUCCUACCAUCCCGAGGCAUGUUGUUGUUGCCGUAAAUGCAAGAAGACAAACAUAUAAAAAGCGAAGAUAUUUGUAGCUACCAUCUGAUUGAAUGAAACUAAAAAAAGAACAAACUUUGUAAUUUUAAUAACAAAACUAGUUUAACUACUCAGGAAAAAAGAAGAAAGUUACCACAUUUAACGAAAAUGGAAUAAAGCAAUUUGACCAAUUUUAUUGCAAGGAUACCUUUAAUCAUCGACAUUACCCUGUGCACUGCUCUCUCCACUAGCAAUGGUCUUAUCCUCAGCAACCUGCCACGCCUGAGGCUGGGCAUAGACAGAUGGGUAAACCCUAGGCUUAGCAGUACUUCUAAUCAUCACCUCAGAUGGAGCAGUCUGCCCCAUGGGUGGAUUGAAGUUCUGAAUACCACUUGACGCAGUCCCUCUAAUCAUCACCUCAGAUGGAGCAGUCUGCCCCAUGGGUGGAUGGGCGUUCUGAACAUCACUUGAUGUGGAGCCAAGCAUGCUGGGCCCAAAACCAGCACCCUCUUCCCUGAUCUCAUCCUUAUGAACAAUGUCAACAAGGAAAUCAAAAAGCUCAGUCCGCUCAAUCGCCUUGGCGACAUCCUUCUUCUGCACCAUCCGUCGUUUAUUCUCCUCCGUGUUAAGCCACGAGUGGAGAGUAAGUUCCUGUAUGAACAUUUCACAUGCUUUCACCAUCAACAUUGGUGCUUCCCCGGAGACCUUGCAAACAUCCUCGUUAUCUUUCAUCAACCUCUUGACACGAGCAAGCGGAAGUUUGUUGUUCUUGAAAUUGUUCGUCUCGUUAAUUUCCUUGAGCUGACACGCCCAAAAUGCUUCCAACUUCUGUUGCUGUUCCUGUUCUUUUUGAUGAUGAUGAUGCUGCUGAAGGAGUUGGUUGUAGGGAACCUGCAGUGGGUACCCAGCGGCAGCGGCCGCCGCCACUGAAUUCUCCCCUAGUUGUUGUUCCUGCUGCUGCUGCAGGACAUGGUAGUAGGGUACCACCAUUGGAUACCCAGCCGCAGCUGCAUUCUCUUCCAACCGCUGUUCUUGUUGUUGCUGCUGAAGGAGCUGGUAGUAGGGUACCUGCAGUGGGUACCCAGUUGCCGCUGCCACCGCCGCAGCAGCAGCUGCAUUCUCUGCCAACGGCUGUUCCUGCUCCUGUUGCUGCUGCUGCUGCUGCUGAAGGAGCUGGUAGUAGGGUACCUGCAGUUAGGAGUGAAAUCCGAUAUUUGGUUAGGUUUGGUUUGGUUUUGAAUUUUAAAAAAUCGAUACUAAUUUGGUUUGGUUUGGUUUUACUCUAAAAUAAUCGACAAAAUAACCAAACCAAACCGAUAUAUAUAUAUAUAUAUAUAUAUAUAAAUUAUUCAUAAAUACAAUAUAAAUAUUUGUUACAAUUUAUAUUUUAAUCAUGAUUUAACUGUAGUCGUAACACAUCCAGUCAUAUGUCUUCACCCAAUUGAUAGUACUUAUGAGAUUCUAAGUGAAUUUAGCACUUUGAAUGACAAAUGAUACUAAUUGUGAAAAUAAUAUCUUGUUGUAUGUUGAAAUUUACAGCUGACAUUAAUUAAACUAUAGACAAUUACUAGUUUUAAUUUUCUUUUUGAACCUUAUUGAGCAAUAAGUUUAUGUGUUCACUUUUUUGGGUUUAUCAUAUCAUUCUGUUAAAUGUAGUUAUUCCAUGGCUUUAUCGAAGUAUAACACCGAGUUGAUAUCUUAGUUUCAAGGUUGAAAUACAACACUCGGUUGACAUCUUAUAUGUUAGAUUGGAUUUUUUUAAAAGAAAUUUCAACUUUUAUCAUUAGCUAAAGUAAUAAACCGAAAAAAACAAACCGAACCGAACUAAACCAACGAGAACCAAACCAACGGUUAGUUUUUUGUUUGGUUUGGUUUUAGAAAUUUAAAAAACUAGGUUUGGUUUCGAACAGUAACGGACCCAUGAACACCCUACCUGCAGUGGGUACCCAGAUUCCGCCGCCACCUCUACACUCCCCACCGAUUGUUGUUCCAGUUGUUGCUGCUGUUGCUGGAGUUGGUAGUAGGGUACUUGCAGUGGGUACCCAGCUGCCGCCGCCGCCGCUGCAUUCACCGCCGCCGCCGCCGCCGCCGCCGCCGACUGCUGUUCCCGUUGCUGCUGCCGCUGAAGGAUAUGGUGAUAGGGUACCUGCAUUGGGUACCCCGCCGCCGCUGCCCCCGCAGCAUUCACCGCCGAUUGCUGCUCCUCCGGCUGUUGGAGAUGGUAAUGGGGUACCUGCAUUGGGUACCCACCUCCGGCCACUGCAUUCUCCGACGAGUUUUUCGAUGUGUUCUUCAUUGAGCUUUCAACGAAUGGGUGACAAAAACGAGGUUAACAAACACAGAGAGUGAGAAAUGGGUGUGUUGAGCUUCUGUUCAUACUCACUAUUUGUAACAAACUCCAUUUGCACUAUUUCUAACAAACUCCAUUUGCACUGUUUCUAACAAAUUCCAUUUGUACAUAUGAGCGAUUAAACGGAGGAGUGAGGUCCACCAUCCUCGGUAACGGACGGAACCUCGUUUCUUUGUAAGCGUAGCCGGUGGAAUCAUCUGAGUAAAAAAACGCCUCAGCCACAUCCAUUUUUUUGUGAUUGUCGAAAACGACAACUUCUCAACAGCCAAAAUCAUGAAUUGAACUGAAAAGCAGGUUCAAUUCAACUGCUAUAAAGAGACGAUCCAAAUAUAAUAACGUCAAUAACGUAAAUGCUGGUAACCUAAUAGUCUGUAAAGGCAAAAUAAUAGCUAAUAAGAUAAAAUGUUGAACCGAAAGGCAUUAGCAUUUGAAAGAUUUGAGUGUAAGUGGUUUUAACGAGGUGGAGACGAUGAUAAUGAAAACAGGUCGGGUGAAAAUGGGUGAGUUGGGUUGGUGUGCGUAUACGUAUGUAUGUUGGGUUGGGGUAGAAGAAUUAUAUUGUAAAAAAAAAAUUGUUAGAAUAAAAAUAUAAUAAGAUUUAAAAAAAAUAAUUAGUGAUGUAUUUUAUUCUUUCACUUUGAAUUUAUUUAUCAUAUUUUAAUCUUACAUAAUUAUUAAAAAAGUAAUUAUUUGUAUAGUAAAUUUAUCAUAUUAUUUCUAUUAAUUGAUGUUUAAAGGGUGUUUGAAUUAGUUUAUUUUAAAAUAAUUUAAUUUUUAAGUAUUUUUUACUUUUAAAGAUAUUUGGCAAAAAUAGAAAGUAUUUUUACACAUUUAACAAUACGCAAGUACAUACAAAAAGAAAAGGCCAAGUGGUUGCUAUAGUAGUUUUGGCUUUUAGUUUUUGCUAAAUUUAUUUGGCACGGAAAAAUAGACAUCUAUGACACGGUAAAAAUUUAUAUAUACCCGAUAUAUACAUCAAAUUAAUUUUUUUUAUCAUAAUUAUGUAAUUAAAUUAAGUAAAAUAUAUAUUGAUUAAUCAUGGUUAAGUAACAUCAAUUUUAAAUUCAAAUACAUGGCAUGCAAGUAUUGGCUUGGUAUAUACACCGGGUGCGUAUAAGUUUUUUUCCGCUAUGACACUGUCUUUGUAGUAUUUUUAUAAUUAACUUGUCAACUAAGGAUGGAUUAGUAACUUCAUAAAUUUUUAUGACUCAAAGAUACCCUUUAAAUUUUAAAAUACUUUACCGAAACAACAAACUACUCUCUCUCUUCCUAAAAAAAACCGUAUAUAUUCACGUAUAUAUUAUUUAAGACUAGUUUUUGACACGUGCUUUGCACGUAUAUGUCAAAUGGUGCAUUCUCCGAUAAUUUUUUCGAUGUGUUCUCCAUUGUGCUUUCGACGAAUGGGCGAUAAAAACGAGGUUAACAAUACAGAGAGUGAGAAAUGGUGUGUUGAGCUUCCGCUCAUACUCAUUAUUUCUAACAAAUUGAAUUUGUACAUAUUAGCAGAUAAACAAGGAGAGUGAGGUCCACCAUCAUCACUAACAGACGGAACCUCAUUUCUCUUUUGAGGGGAAAAUUGUCUUACACUCAUCCAAUUUUUUGUGCUAGUUGAAAAGGACAAACUCCUCAACAGCUAAAAAACAUGAAUUGAACUAAAAAGCAGGCUUAACUCAACAUGAUAAAGAGCCGAUCCAAAUUCAAUAACGUAAAUGCUGAUAAUCGAAUAGUUUAUAAAGGCAAAAUAACAGCUAAUAAGAUAAAAUAUUAAACGGAAGGCAUUAGCAUUUGAAAGUUUUGAGUGUAGGAGGUUUUAAUGGAAGUUUUAAGAUGGAGAAGAUGACAAUGAAAAUAGGUCGGGAGAAAAUGGGUUGGGUGUGUGUGCAUAUAUAUGUUGGGUUCGGUAAAAGAAUUAUAUUGGAGAAAAUUUUAAUCUAUAGAGUAUAUGUAUAAUUUAUAUUCUCUUUCUCUCCUCUCUUUCUCUCUCUCUGUAUUAUAAUUAUAAUAUAUUAAAAGUGUGAAUACCUUUAGAAAUGUGAUUUGAACCUUUCACCCUUCAUUAAAAAUCUCCACAAUAAAUGAAAUUGUCUUUUCACUUAUUUCCUGCAAUUAUUAUAUCAUUAUAUUUAUAAUAAAGGAUUCCUAAAUAUAUGGUAAGAAAAAAAUAUAUGAAAAUUUAUUAUUGCUGAAUUUUUUUUUUCUCUUUGUGUACUUGAGAAAGGAUUCCUAUAUUCAAAAUAAGAGGGAAAAAAGGAAAAUAAGAUGAUUUUUAUCAAAAUUUAAAUAAUAAAUUUAAUAGCAGACAUCUUUUAAUAAAUUAAAACAAGGAAAAUAACUAAAAGCACACGAUUUUUUUUUUUUGCUUCAAAUUUUGGUAGUAUUAGACCUCUAUUUUUUUUUACAAAAUAAAAAGAAAUAUAAUUUUAAUAGUAUAUUAUUGUUCGAACGUGCAGGACAUCUGCUAUAUUUGGGAAUCUUUAUUAUUUUUAUAUUAUUGUUAUAAAUGUAUUUACAUUAUAGUGAAUGUCUAUCAAGAUCUAUUUGAUAUCUAUUAGGAUUUGAAGCAUUCGUCUUUUACUCAGACUAGGAGUAAAUUUUUCCUAUAAAUAGAAGGGUUUCGUUCAUUGUAUUUACAAUCUUAUGAUCUCUUAUCCCUCAAGAGAAGUAAUAAGAAUUACUCUCUCUUCUCUCUCUACUCUUCUUCUUUGUUCUUUCUUAUUUUAUAACACGUUAUCAGCACAAAGUCUCUACUUUAUUUCAAUUAGUCAGACGGUAAGCUUGAAUCUUGGUAUGGGUAAGAUAUCUACGCGUGAUGUAAACUGAAAAUUUUGAUGGCUAAUAAAUAAUGAAUUUGUAUAAGGAAUAUAUAAUCUUUCUAUGUACGUACAAUCACUAGCCACUGUUGCUUAUUUAAAGUUAGCUUUUAAGGGGAAAAAAAAUCUACAUUAUAUGUAUGUAAUUUGCUGGCAAUGUUCUCUGUGUUGGUUACUUUUGCCGUAGCUAGCCACAUUUUUUUUUCUUUACAUAAAUUGUUAUGACAGUAUAGCCACGACAUGUGUAUUGCUACUUAUAUGUCCUAUUGUUUUGAGUACGAGAAAAUUGAAAAGUCCUACAUAUCGUUGAGUGUUAAUGUUAUUGUAUUAAUUUUGUAGAAUUUAUCCUAAACAAUCUUGUAAAUUGGAUAUCUCAUUGUGCANNNNNNNNNNNNNNNNNNNNNNNNNNNNNNNNNNNNNNNNNNNNNNNNNNNNNNNNNAGAUGAUAAUAUGUUGGGUUCAAGUCCCAUCGAUUCAUGCCUAAGAUGCCUUUAUAUAGAUCAAAUAUUGAGUUUGAAUCUCAAUACACCAUAUUGAUGAUAUUGUGAUGGCUAAGGUAAAAUAAUGGGUGUUUGAUGAAAAGUCAUGAAAUUCGACCCAUUGAAUAUGCUUCAUUCCAUUAGGUGAAUAUGGUAGCAAUGUAUGAUAAGUCUAAAAUAUGACAACUUACUUUAUUCUUGAGGUAUAUGUGGUAGCAGUGCAUAAUAUGUCUGAAAGAAGACAAGUGAUUGAAUGCACGAAUAUAUGCGUGGAGAGACAAUAUGAUAAUGAUCAUCAAAAGUGAUGAUAUUUUCACACGCUUAUAUGAUUAUAAGAUAUGCUAGAGAAAAAAAAUAAUUUUNNNNNNNNNNNNNNNNNNNNNNNNNNNNNNNNNNNNNNNNNNNNNNNNNNNNNNNNNNNNNNNNNNNNNNNNNNNNNNNNNNNNNGGCUUAAGGCACGAUUAUAUUUCAUUCCUGGGGAAUGAGAAACUUAUUAAUGCAAACAUGCACUUGAUUGUGCUUGUAUCACAACUCACCUCCGAAAGAGGUUGAAUAAUUUUGAAACCUACUUCUGAAGUAGUAAAUCUAAAAUUUAUUCAUGUAAGAGUAAAUCUAAAAUUUACUAAAGAAAAAGUACAUGUCAUGGUAAACUUGGAGUUUACUAGAAUAAAAGUUCAUAAAUUGAUAUGAACAAUUGUGACAUCUUGAAGAUGUGCAUGUCUUGAAGAACUAGAAGUUUUUUCAAGAAUUGUUUAUGUCGUUUGUUCUCAUGACAAGUUGGUUGGACCACCUAAUAUUGGGCUUGAAUCCCUUCAAAUCUGACAAUUAUAAAAGGUGAAUAAGGGUUCGUUCACCUAUCAUGUGAUAUGUUGAAAAGAUGCAUCAAUAAGAUGAUCACAUGUACAUUCAUGGUCAACCUACGUUUGACAUUCAUAAAGUUACUUGUUCAAUAUAAAUUGAGCAUAAUUUUCAGAUUGUGCAAUCAAGAAAGUUAUCUUGACGAUGAUGGUUAGGCAUUGAAUGCCUUUGAUAAAUAGCUAAACCAUCACUAAUGAGAACAAAGCUUCAUGUGUUGGUCUGAAAUAUAAUAUGUUGCAUACAAUAACACUUGUAUGCAUUAGACCAAUAAAUUAUGAUUAUUUCUUCUCUCUCAAUUGGUUCAAGGUCGGGAACUAAUUAUUUCAUCUAAUAUUUUGAUGUGCAGUAUACGAUUAAUGAAUAUACCAUAAUGCACAAAGAUGGAUUCCUCAAAGAAGUAGAGGAUGUAUAUUAGUUUUUCUAACAUAAGGGGGAUAUUAUAAGCGCUGUGAAAUAUGUUAGGAAUUAUUAUCACAUCCUCAUCCAAAAGAUAACUCAAGUCAAAUGUCGAAAGCAUCUCAUAUCAAGCGCAGGUGCUCUUAUUUUGUGUUUCUCAAAGACAGAGUCUAUGCAUGCGUAAAGCGUAGUAGACUAAUCGGUUCUAAAUGAAAUAGUCCUUGAAAAAUAAGGAGCAAAUAAUCAUAAUAAGAAAGCAAUGAGCUCUUGAAGAGCCUAUGACAUAACACUUCAUAAAACCUUAUGAGAGGUUCAUGUAUCUGAAAAUAAUGAAGUGAUUAGAUCUCAAAAUAUUAUGUCUCAUUGUGAUCAGAUACGAAAUGAUAUAUCAUCAAUAUAUUUGACACAAUAUUGACGCAAUAUUGAGAAAGAUUACAAGGAUCUGAAUUCUACGUUUAUUUAAGCAAGCUGACGUAGAAACAUUUAUCAAGUGACAUGAAAGGAUGCAUUUUGGUAAGCGUAAAACUUAUUUGAUUUGCAGUCCAGACACUUGAAGAUGUCACUUAUGAAAUGUUGAAUAUUAUCACUUGACAAAACUUAUGUGAAAACUUUUAAGGAUUCAAACUACUUGAAGCAUAUAAAAGUUUCUGGGAAACUUAUUUAUAAUCCUUAUAUUGUAUAAGCUUAUUGCUUGAACAUCAUUGAAACUCUUGGAGAGUUUUCAAAGCAAUAGAUUAUUUGCUGAAAUUCGAAAUAUGUCGAAUUAGAUUGGUUAUGAAGUGCCAUAUCUUAGUGCAAUUGAUGUAAUCAUGUACCUUGCAAAUACUAUAAGGCCUAUAGCCUUUCCAGUCAAUUUGUUAGCAAGGUAUAUUUCUGCUUCUACUAUGAGACAUCAAAUGGGAUAAAACACAUGAGUUUAUUUUAUUCUAAAGAUUGCAGUCCCGAUCUUACUGGUCAUGCUGAUGUUGGGUACUCAUCUAACCCGCACAAAUCUCGAUCUCAAACAUACAAUAUGUUCACAUGUGGGGAUACUGCCAUAUCUUGGAGAUAUACAAAGCAGUCUAUUGCAGCCACUUCAUCAAAUCAUGCUGAGAUAAUAGGUAUUCAUGAAGCAAAUUGAGAAUGUGUAUGGUUGAGGUCCAUGAUACAUCUCAUUCGAGAAAAAUGUGGUGUGAAAUAUGACAAUCUACCUACAAUUUUAUACAGAGAUAAUUCAACAUACAUAGCACAUCUUAAGGGAGGAUUCAUAAAUGGAGAUAGAAUGACGCACAUUUUGCCAAAAAUUUUCUACAUACAUGAGCUACAAAAGAAUGAUGAUAUUAACGUGCAAAAAAUUCGUUCAACUGACAAUGUGACUGAUUUAUUCACCAAAUCUUCUCCAAUUGCAAUUUGCAAGAAGAUGCUGCACAAGAUCGAGAUGCAAAGGUCAAGGAUGAUCUCAUUAAGGGGAGUUAAUACGCGUUGUACUCUUUUUCCCUUAUGAGGUUUUGUCCCACUGGGUUUUCAUUGUAAAGUUUUUAAUGAGGCAGCCUAUAUGCGUAUUGUUAGAGAUGUGUACUCUUUUUCCUUCACUAGAUUUUUUUUCACUGGGUUUUUUCUAGUAAGGUUUUAACGAGGUACAUUAUCUACCAAUUAGACAUUCAAGGGGGAGUGUUAUAAAUGUAUUACAUUAUAGUGAAUGUCUAUCAAGAUCUACUUUGAUGUCUAUUAGGAUUUGAAGCACAUGUCUUUUACUCAGACUAGGAGUAAAUUCCCCCUAUAAAUAGAGGGGUUUUGUUCAUUGUAUUUACAAUCUUAUGAUCUCUCAUCCCUCAAGAGAAGUAAUAAGAAUUACUCUUUCUUCUCUCUCUACUCUUCUUCUUUGUUCUUUCUUAUUUUAUAACAAUUAUAUUAUUAUCAGAAAAUUUUUAUGAUUGCACCCCGAAUGAAAAACUUUCAUAUUUAGUUAAUCCUUUUUGGACGAUGGUUUAGACUUCUACAAAUUAAGGAUUCUUUCUUUCUAAAAUAAUAUAAAAGCAUUUACAAGGUACAUAUUGGUGGAACAAAUAUUUUUAUAACUAGUUUUUCGAUGAACUUUAAAGAUGUUGUCUAAUAAUCACAAAAUGUCAGACUUUAUUGAAUUGUUCUAAUAUUUUAAUUAGAGAAAAUGCAUCAAAUUCCCCCUGAACUUGUCCGCUCAACUCACUUUAGCACUUAAACUAAAUUUUUUAUUUAUUUACCCCCUAACAUCUUUAAAGUGAUUUAAUUUUAACCCUACAGCUGAUGUGGCAUUUAAAAAAAUAUGCAUGAAUAUUAAAAAAAAAAUACUAAUAUUUUAUAUAUAUUUUUUUAAAAAACUACUAUUCCCUCCGUUUAAAAAAGAAUGAUCUACUUUUCUUUUUAGUCCGUUUAAAAAAGAAUGACCCCUUUCCUUUUUUAACAAUACUUUAAUUUCAUCUUUCCACAUGACAUGUUUAGGACCACAAGAUUAAAGGACAUUUUGGUACAUUUGACACAACUUUAAUUUAAGGCCACAAGAUUUAAAAGUCUUCUUUAUUUUCUUAAACUUUGUGCCGAGUCAAAGUAGGUCAUUCUUUUUUAAACGGAGUGAUUAAUGUAUAUAUAUAGAAAAAGAAAAAGAAUUAAAAAAAUUCCUCUUCUUCUUCACCCAUCCCACCCCCAAACCCGUCAACACACUCCUCUUUCACCAAAUCCACCACCAAACCCACCAACAUCCCCACCCCACUUUUCCCCCAAUUACGAAAACUGUCAUCCCCCAUCUUUAAUUUCCCCUCCUUCAACCCCUUAGAUCAAUAAAAAAGAAUGAAAAUUAAAAAAUCGACAUGGUUUGGAUGUUUGGUUGUUGAUUUUAGAGAAUUUGGUGUUGAUUUGAUCAAAUUUUUCAAGUGGAUUGAGAUUUUUAUUACUAUUUUAUGGUAUUUUUCGAUGGUGGUAAUUGAAUUUUUCAAGUGGGUUGAAUUUUUCGGCAAAAAUUUAUCAAAAAAUCUGACAGGUGUGGCUAUGCGUGGGUGGACGGAGGAAGAUGGAGGUGUGGCAGUGUGGGGGUGGACGGGGGUGGAUGGUGUUUGUGUGCAGGUGGCGGUGGAUGGGAGGUGGUGUAAUACCCCAAAAAAUGCAAAUUAAUCUUAGCACCAUAUUUCAAGCUUAUGCAUAGUACAUCAUGGUUCUUUGGUAGUUUUAUGAUCAAGUUUGAUGUUAAUUAAGGUCUCAAAUACGUCCUAGCUAUUAGAUGAAUCAAAACAUUCCUUACCGAUUGAAUUCUUAGGAAGGAUAUUGGUAUAGUCAAAUUUAANNNNNNNNNNNNNNNNNNNNNNNNNNNNNNNNNNNNNNNNNNNNNNNNNNNNNNNNNNNNNNNNNNNNNNNNNNNNNNNNNNNNNNNNNNNNNNNNNNNNNNNNNNNNNNNNNNNNNNNNNNNNNNNNNNNNNNNNNNNNNNNNNNNNNNNNNNNNNNNNNNNNNNNNNNNNNNNNNNNNNNNNNNNNNNNNNNNNNNNNNNNNNNNNNNNNNNNNNNNNNNNNNNNNNNNNNNNNNNNNNNNNNNNNNNNNNNNNNNNNNNNNNNNNNNNNNNNNNNNNNNNNNNNNNNNNNNNNNNNNNNNNNNNNNNNNNNNNNNNNNNNNNNNNNNNNNNNNNNNNNNNNNNNNNNNNNNNNNNNNNNNNNNNNNNNNNNNNNNNNNNNNNNNNNNNNNNNNNNNNNNNNNNNNNNNNNNNNNNNNNNNNNNNNNNNNNNNNNNNNNNNNNNNNNNNNNNNNNNNNNNNNNNNNNNNNNNNNNNNNNNNNNNNNNNNNNNNNNUAUAUAUAUAAAUUGAUGGCUUGACAUGAAACACACGUAUACUUGACUAGUAUGUAUGAAAAAUGUGAAGUAUAUUACAAAUAUUGUUUGAACUUUUUGCCUUCACUAAAAGUCUCUACUUUGGUCAAAAUCAUAUUUUUCACUAUUUUUCUAAUACUUAAGAAUUGAAAAUUAAUCAAAUAUUUAUAGUAAAAUAUUUUCUUAUUAAAAUUCAUUAAAAUUAAUGACAACUAAUAUAUUUUUCAUUAGUUUAAGAAUUCUAAACCAACUAAAGUUGAUUUUAGAAAGAUUUGAAAAAUCUAGAAAUAAAUAGAAAAGCAUUAGAAUAAAAGAAAUAUAAGAAGUGCCAAAUUUUUAAAAGUUUUAAGUAAGUAAUCAAAGAUUUUCUAAGGAUUUAAUUUUAAAAAUAAGAAAAUGUUAUAUAUAUAUAUAUAUAUAUAAAAAUUUUAAAAAAUAAUCAUACUACAAAUAUGAUACAAAUCGAUGUGUCUCUCUUAGCCUCUAAUAGUAAGAAAAAGACGUAUUGUAUGACAAGCGCAAAAGUGACGAUUCAUUAACCACUUGAAAGUUUUAGUGGUAAAAUACACAUGUGCUUACCGUAAAAUAUAUGUUAUAUUUAUAUUGUUGUAUUAAAGUGCGAAAAUUUUUUAAAUAAUAACUUUUUAAAUUUAAUUAAAACCUUCACAAUAGAUAAAAUCGUUUAAUUUUAAAAAAUCAAAGGUUACACGUGCGAGACACAUGCGGUUAAAAUAGUUAGAAUAAAAAUAUAUUCAAAUUAAAAUAAAUUUAAUUAGUGAUGUAUUUUACUCUUACACUUUGAAAUUAUUUGUCAUAUUUUAAUCCGACACAAUUAUUAAGAAAAAAAUUAUUGAUGUAGUAACUUUAUCAUAUUAUUAUUAAUUGAUGUUUAAAGGAUGUUUGAAUUGACUUGUUUUUAAAUGUUUUGGCUUUUAAAUAUUUUUUUUAAUUUUUAAAGAUAUUUGGCAAAAAUAAAAAGUGCUUUUAAAUAUUUAACUUUAAACAAGUACAAAAAAAAAAAGUCAAAAGUGGCUGCUACCUAAUUUUGGCUUUUGACUUUUAGUUUUUGAUAAAUUUAUUUGAAUGAAAAAAAAUGACAUGUAUGACACUGUUUUUGUGAUAUUUUCGUAAUUAACUCAUCAACUAAGAGUGAGUUAGUAACUUCUCAAAUUUUUAUUACCCAAGAAACCUUCCAAACAAUAAAAUCACUUUAUCGAAACCACAAACUUCUCUCUCUCUCUUCUGCCAGCAAAAAAAAAACACUAUCCAAGAUUUUAAUCUCUGCCCAAUAAAUUUUUGCAUAAGAUUCUAUCUCACCCAACAAUAAUUUUGUGUGAGACCAUUCUAAUUUUUUGACAAGUGUUUUAAUGGGUCUUAUUUUGUCAGUCAAUCCUUACCCCUUCAUUUUUUCAAAUUCUUUUUUUUUGGUUGUUUUAUUUUUGGGGUGGUGGUGGUGGUGGUAAAUGUUCUCUUCAUUUUCUCUCCCGUGUCCCUUUUCUCUUCAGAUAUUUUAUAUUCGACUUCAACAUAAUUCAAACACUCAAAAUAAGUAAUUUUGAAUAUAAAGUAGGCUUUUAGAAUUAUAAAAAUAUAAAUUACUACCUCCGUCUUAAUUUGUAUGAGUUACUUUGACUUGACACGAAGUUUAAUAAAGAAAAAAAAAAUUUAAAAUUUGUGAUCUAAAAUAAGUGAUAGAUAUUUGUGUGGCUAUAAAUUAUUUUACUAAGAAAUAUAUUAAGAUUAAAAAAAUUAAUUAGUGAUGUACAUUACUCUUUCAUUUUGAAUUUAUUCAUCACUAUUAAUCUGACACAAUUAUUAAGAAAAUAAUUAUUGAUGUAAUGACUUUAUCAUAUUAUUAUUAAUUGAUGUUGAGAGGGUGUUUGAAUUGACUUAUUUUUAAAUAUUUUAGAUUUUUAAUAUUUUUCUUAUUUUUAAAGAUAUUUGGAAAAAAAUAAAGUGCUUUUAAAUAUUUAACUUUAAGCAAGUACAAAAAACAAAAAGCCAAAAAUGGUUGCUACCUAAUUUUGACUUUUAGUUUUUGAUAAAUUUAUUUGGCGUGAAGAAAAUGACACGAAAGACACUGUUUUUGCCUUAUUUUCGUAUUAACUCGUCAACUAAGGUGAAUUAGUAACUUCACAAAUUUUUAUUACCCAAGAUAUCCUCCAAACUUUAAAAUCACUUGUUAUCGAAACCACAAGCUACUUUUCUCUCUUUUCUUCCAGCAAAAAAAAAUACUGCCCAAGAUUUUGCUUUUUGCCUAAUAAAUUUUUGUAUAAAAUUUUACCUCACCCACCAAUAAUUGUGUGAGACCAUUAUAGUUUUUUGACAAGUGUUUUAAUGAGUCCUAUUUUAUUAGUCCACCCUUUUCCCUUCAUUUCUUCAAAUUCUUCUUUUUGGUUGUCACGUUAUAUUCUUUUUGUUUGUUAAAUGUUCUCUUCUUUUUGUCUCUAGUUCCCCUUCUCCUCUUCAAAUAUUUUAUAUUCGGCUUCAACAUAACUAAAGGACUUAAAACAGUUACGGUUUUUGCUCUAAUUUUCUUACAAAGUUUAAGUUUUGCCCUUUUUAAAAGAAAAAUAAAAGUAAUACCAUAAUUACUUUUAUUUUUUUUUGAAAGAAAAUUUUAAAAUUUUCAUAUUUGGUAAAAAUCUCUUUCUUGGAGGAAAGGUUUUGAAACUCUCUAAAUAGAAGACCCCCUUCUCAUACCAUAACCAAAUAGCAUCCACAACGUAGUUGUUUAAAAAUUUGGUUUAGGGGAUGAUUGAACCUUGUUGAGCAGGAAGUUUAUGUGUUCACCUUUUUGGAGUUUAUCAUAUCAUUCUGUUAAAUGUAACUAUUAAAUAUUUUUUUAGAAGCAUUCAUAUGGUGUUGUUCAUGGCUUUGUCGAAGUAUAAUACUCAGUUGAUAUCUUAGUUUUAAGAUUUAGAUACAAUACUCGUUUGACAUCUUAUAUGUUAGAUUGGAUUUUUAAAAAAAAAUUCUACUUUUAUCAUUACCUAAAGUUAUAAAUCGAAAAAAUCAAACAAAAUCGACAAGAACCAAAUUGACGGUUACUUUUUCAUUUGAUUUGGUUUUAGAAAUUUAAAAAACUAAGUUGGUUUGGUUUUGAUCAAUAACUAACCCAUGAACACCCCUACCUGCAGUAGGUACCCAACUUUCUCCACCGCCUCUACACUCCCUACUGAUUGUUGUUCCAGUUGUUGUUACUACUGCUGGAGUUGGUAGUAGGGUACUAGUAGUGGGUACCCAGCUGCCGCCGUCGCCCCCGCAGCAUUCACCACCGACUGCUGUUCCCGUUGCAGCUGCAGCUGAAGGAUAUCGUGAUAGGGUAGCUGCAUUAGAUACCUUGCCGCUGCCGCCCCCGCAACAUUCACCGCUGACUGCCGCUCCCCCUGUUUUUGGGGAUGGUAAUAGGGUACCUGCAUUGGGUACCCACCUUCGGCCGCUGCAUUCUCUGAUAAUUUUUUCAAUGUGUUCUCCAUUGCGCUUUUGACGAAUGGGAACAAAAAUGAGUUUAAAAAAUACAGAGAAUGAGAAAUGGUGUGUUGAGCUUCCGCUCAUACUCACUAUUUCUAACAAAUUGAAUUUAUACUUAGCGGAUAAACAGGGAGUGUGAGGUCCACCGUCAUCACUAAUGGACAAAACCUCAUUUCUCUGUAAGCGGUUGUGGAAUCUUGUGAGUAAAAAAAAUGCCUCAGCCACAUCCAUUUUUUGUGAUGAUAGAAAUCGGCAGCUUCUCAACAGCUAAAAUCAUGGAUUGAACUCAAAAGAAGGUUCAAUUCAACUGCGAUAAAGAGACGAUUCAAAUACAAUAACGUAAAUAUUGGGAACCAAAUAGUCUGUAAAGGCAAAAUAAUAGCUAAUAAGAUAAAUGUUGAACCGAAAGGCAUUAGCAUUUGAAAGCUUUGAGUAUAAAUGGUUUUAAUGAAAGUUUUAAAGUGGAGACGAUGAAAAUGAAAAUGGGUCGGAUGAAAAUGGAUGAGUUAGGUUGGUGUGCGUAUACGUAUGUAUGUUAGGUUGGGGUAGAAGAAUUAUAUUGUAAAAUUUUUUUAUUAUAAGAAGAAUAUAUUAAGAUUUAAAAAGAAAUAAUUAGUGAUGUAUUUUAUUCUUUCACUUUGAAUUUAUUUAUCAUAUUUUAAUCUGACAUAAUUAUUUAGUAAAUAAUUAUUUGUAUUGUGAAUUUGUCAUAUUAUUCCUAUUAAUUGAUAUUUAAAGGGUCUUUGAAUUAGUCUAUUUUAAAAUAUUUUGGUUUUUAAGUUUUUUUUUUUUUUUAAUGAUAUUUGGCAAAAACAGAAAGUGUUUUUACACAUUUAACAUUAAGCAAGUACAUACAAAUAAGAAAAAGCCAAAAGUGGUUGCUAUAUAGUUUUGGCUUUUAGUUUUAAGUAAAUUUAUUUGGCACGGAAAAAAAGACAUCUAUGACACUGUUUUUGUGGUAUUUUCAUAAUUAACCUGUCAACUAAGGGUGGAUUAGUAACUUCAUAAAUUUUUAUGACUCAAAGAUACCCUUUAAAUUUUAAAAUCACUUUACCGAAACAACAAACUACUCUCUCUCUCUCAUCUUCUUCUUCUUAUAAAAAAAAAUGUAUAUAUUCACGUAUACAUUAUUUAAGACUAGUUUUUUGACACGUGCUUUGCACGUAUAUGUCAAAUGCUGCAUUCUCUGAUGAUUUUUUCGAUGUGUUCUCCAUUGCGCUUUCGACGAAUGGACGACAAAAAUGAGGUUAACAAAACAGAGAGUGAGAAAUGGUGUUUUAAGCUUCCGCUAAUACUCACUAGUUCUAACAAAUUGAAUGUGUAUAUAUUAGCGGAUAAACAGGGAGGCUGAGGUCCACUAUCAUCACUAACAGACGGAACCUCAUUUGUUUGUAAGUGGUAGCCGGUGGAAUCGUUUGAGGGGAAAAUCGUCUUACACUCAUCGAUUUUUUUGUGCUAGUCGAAAAGGACAAACUUCUCAACAGCUAAAAAAACAUGAAUUGGAUUAAAAAACAGGUUCAAUUCAACCUGAUAAAAGAUAAUCGAAAUUCAAUAACGUAAAUGUUGAUAACCGAAUAGUCUAUAAAGGAAAAAUAACAACUAAUAAGAUAAAAUAUUGAACGGAAGGCAUUAGAAUUUGAAAGUUUUGAGUAUAAGAGGUUUUAAUGGAAGUUUUAAGAUGGAGAAGAUGGCAAUGAAAACAGGUCGGGAGAAAAUGGGUGAGUUGGGUUGGGUUGGGUGUGUAUACAUAUAUUUGUUGGGUUCGGUAGAAGAAUUAUAUUGGUGAAAAUUUUAAUCCAUCGAGUAUAUGUAUAAUUUAUACUCUCUCUCUCUCUCUCUCUCUCUCUCUCUCUCUCUAUAUAUAUAUAUAUAUAUAUAUAUAUAUAUAUAUAUAUUAUACUAUAUUAAAAGUGUGAAGACUUUUAUAAAAGUGAUUUGAACUUUUUACCCUUCACUAAAAGUUUCCGCAAUAGAUGAAAUUGUCUUUUCACUUAUAUCCUACAAUUAUUAUAUCAUUAUAUUUAUUAUAAAUAAAGAAAUCCUAAAUAUAUGGUAAGAAAAAAAUAUAUGGAAAUUUAUUAUUGUUGGAUUUUUUUUCUCUUUGUGUACUUGAGAAAGGAUUCCUAUAUACAAAAUAAGAGGGAAAAAAAAAGGAAAAUAAGAUGAUUUUUAUUAAUAUUAAAAUAAUAAAUUUAAUAGCAGCCUUUUUUAUAAAUUAAAACAAGAGAAAUAACUAAAGAACACGAUUUUUUUUGCUUCAAAUUUUGGUAGUAUUAGACAUCUAUUUUUUUUACAAAAUAAAAAGAAGUAUUAUUUUAAUAGUAUAUUAUUGUUCGGACGUGCAGGACAUCUGCUAUAUUAGGGAAUCUUUAUUAUUUUUAUAUUAUAUUAUUAUUAAAAAAAAUUAUGAGUGCACCCCGGAUGAAAAGCUUUCAUAUUUAGUUAAUCCUUUUUGGAUGAUGGUGGACUUCUACAAAUUGAGGACUCUUUCUUUCUAAAAUAAUAUAAAAGUAUUUACAAGGUAAAUAUUGGUGGAACAAAUAUUUUUAUAACUAGUUUUUCGAUGAGCUCUAAUGAUGUUGUCUAAUAAUCACAAAAGGUCAGACUUUGUUGUAUUGUUCUAAGAUUUUAAUUAUCAAUUGUUUUAUUGUAGUUUCUAUUCUAUUCAAGUUUAUUGUGUAGAUGGAUGUUUUGUCACAUCUUUGAAGAAUUUUUUGUGUUACGAUUACGUUUAAUCGUAUUGUUCUGAGCUCUCGAUCGUUGUAUAAUACACGUGGUAGAUGAACGUUCAGUCGGAUUUUGAGGAACUUUUUUACAAAGGUUACGGUUUAAUCGACUCAUUCAAUAUGUCAAGUAUCGUAUUAUUUUAUUGUAGUUUGCAGAUGGUAGAUUAAUGUUCAGUCGAGCUUUGAGAAAUUCUCAUGUAAAGGUUAGUUAAUCAUAUUACAGUAUAUUAUUUUUGUUAUCAUUCGUUAUCUAAUAGUUUAUGUCGUAGUAGACGAUCAAAAUACCAAUAUUUCAAGCAUGCCUCGAAGCAUAAAGUUGUCUAUCUUAAAUUUUUAAAGUCAAUAUAUAUAUAUAUAUAUAUACUAGUCAAGUAUACAUGUGUUGCACGCGUGUUUCAUGUUAAGCCCACGCGUGCAACACACGUAUACUUGACUAGUAUAUAUAAAAAAUGUCAUUCGUUAUCUAAUAGUUUAUGUCGUAGUAGACGAUCAAAAUACCAAUAUUUCAAGCAUGCCUCGAAGCAUAAAGUUGUCUAUCUUAAAUUUUUAAAGUCAAUAUAUAUAUAUAUAUAUACUAGUCAAGUAUACAUGUGUUGCACGCGUGUUUCAUGUUAAGCCCACGCGUGCAACACACGUAUACUUGACUAGUAUAUAUAAAAAAUGUGAAGGAUAUUACAACUAUUGUUUGAAUUUUUUGCCCUUCACUAAAAAUCUCUACUUUAGACAAAAUCAUAUUUAUCACUAUUUUUCUAAUACUGAAGAAUUGAAAGUUAAUCUAAUAUCUAUAGUAAAAUACUUCCUUGGAUAGCCCCGCCGCCGCUACCCCCGUAGCAUUCACCGCCGAUUGCUGCUCCUCCGGCUGUUGGAGAUGGUAAUGGAGUACCUGCAUUGGGUAUUCUCCUCCAACCGCUGCAUUCUCCGAUGACUUUUUUGAUGUGUUCUCCAUUGAGCUUUCGAUGAAUGGUGACAAAAUCGAGGUUAACAAACACAGAGAGUGAGAAAUAGGUGUGUUGAGCUUCCGCUCAUACUCACUAUUUGUAACAAACUCCAUUUGUACAUAUUAGCGAAUAAACGUGGGAGUGACAGGUCCACCAUCCUUAGUAGCGGACGGAACCUCAUUUCUUUGUAAGCGGUAGUCGGUGGAAUCAUCUGAGUAAAAAAAUGCCUCAGCCACGUCCAUUUUUUUGUGAUGGUCGAAAACGACAACUUCUCAACAGCCAAAAUCAUGAAUUGAACUCAAAAGUAGGUUCAAUUCAACUGUGAUAAAGAGAUGAUCCAACUACAAUAACAUAAAUGUUGAUAACCGAAUAGUCUGUAAAGGCAAAAUAACAGCUAAUAAUAUAAAAUGUUGAACGAAAGACAUUAGCAUUUGAAAGUUUUGAGUGUAAGUGGUUUUAAUGGAAGUUUUAAGGUGGAGACGAUUACAAUGAAAACGGGUCAGGUGAAAAUGAGUGAGUUGGGUUGGUGUGUGUAUACGUAUGUAUGUUGGGUUGGGGUAGAAGAAUUAUAUUGUAAUUUUUUUUAUUAGAAUAAAAAUAUAUUAUGAUUUAAAAAGAUAUAAUUAGUGAUGUGUUUUAUUCUUUCACUUUGAAUUUAUUUAUCAUAGUUUAAUCUGACAUAAUUAUUUAGUAAAUAAUUAUUUGUAUUAUGAAUUUGUCAUAUUAUUCCUAUUAAUUGAUGUUUAAAGGGUGUUUGAAUUAGUUUAUUUUAAAAUAUUUUGAUUUUUAAGUAUUUUUUUAUUUUUAAAGAUAUUUGUCAAAAACAAAAAGUGUUUUUACAAAUUUAACAUUAAGCAAGUACAUACAAAAAAGAAAAAGCCAAAAGUGGUUGCUAUAUAGUUUAGGCUUUUAGUUUUCAGUAAAUUUAUUUGGCAUGAAAAAAAGACAUCUAUGACACUGUUUUUGUGGUAUUUUCAUAAUUAACUUGUCAACUAAGGGUGGAUUAGUAACUUCAUAAAUUUUUAUGACUCAAAGAUACCCUUUAAAUUUUAAAAUCACUUUACCGAAACAACAAACUACUCUCUUCUCUUCCCCCCCNNNNNNNNNNNNNNCCCCCUCUUCCCCCCCCAAAAAACGUAAAUAUUAUUUAAGACUAGUUUUUUGACACGUGCUGUGCACGUAUAUGUCAAAUGCUGUAUUCUCCGAUGAUUUUUUCGAAGUGUUCUCCAUUGCGCCUUCGAUGAAUGGGCGACAAAAACGAGGUUAACAAUACAGAGAGUGAGAAAUGGUGUGUUGAGCUUCCACUCAUACUCACUAUUUCUGACAAAUUGAAUUUGUACAUAUUAGCGGAUUAAUGGGGGAGUGAGGUCCACCAUCAUCACUAACGGACGAAACCUCAUUUCUCUGUAAGCAGUAGCCAGUGGAAUCAUUUGAGGGGAAAAUCGUCUUACACUCAUCCAAUUUUUUGUGCUAGUCGAAAAGGACAAACUUCUCAGCAACUAAAAAAACAUGAAUUGGACUAAAAAACAAGUUCAAUUCAACCUGAUAAAGAGACGAUCCAAAUUCAAUAACGUAAAUGUUGAUCGCCGAAUAGUCUAUAAAGGCAAAAUAACAACGAAUAAGAUAAAAUGUUGAACGAAAGGUAUUAGCAUUUGAAAGUUUUGAGUGUAAGAGGUUUUAGUGGAAGUUUUAAGAUGGAGAAGAUGACAAUGAAAACAGGUCGGGAGAAAAUGGGUGGGUUGGGUUGGGGGUGUAUACAUAUGUGUGUUGGGUUCGGUAGAAGAAUUAUAUUGGUGAAAAUUUUAAUCCAUAGAGUACAUGUAUAAUUUAUACUCUCUCUCUCUCUCUAUGUCUCUCUCUCUCUCUCUCUCUCUAUAUAUAUAUAUAUAUAUAUAUAUAUAUAUAUAUUAUUAUUAUUAUUAAAGUGUGAAGUUCCUUAGAAAAGCGAUUUAAACUUUUUACCCUUCAUCAAAAGUCUCCGCAAUAGAUGAAAUUGUCUUUUCACUUAUACCCUACAAUUAUUAUAUCAUUAUAUUUAUAAUAAAUAAAGAAAUCCUAAAUAUAUGGUAAGAAAAAAAUAUAUGGAAAUCUAUUAUUGAUGGAUUUUUUUUCAUCUUUGUGUACUUGAGAAAGGAUUUCUAUAUACUAAAUAAGAGGGGAAAAAAGGUAAAUAAGAUGAUUUUUAUUAAUAUUAAAAUAACAAAUUUAAUAGCAGCCUUUUUUUAUAAAUUAAAACAAGAAAAGUAACUAAAGCACGCGAUUUUUUUGCUUCAAAUUUUGAUAGUAUUAGACAUCUAUUUUUUUUACAAAAUAAAAAGAAAUAUAAUUUUAAUAGUAUAUUAUUGGUCGGACGUGCAGGACACCAGCUAUAUUAGGGAAUCUUUAUUAUUUUUAUAUUAUAUUAUUAUUAGAAAUUUUUUAUGAGUGCACCCUGGAUGAAAAACUUUCCUAUUUAGUUAGUCCUUUUUGGACGAUGGUUUGGACUUAUAGUUAAUUCUUUUUAUAACUAGUUUUUUCGAUGAGUUUUAAAGAUAUUGUCUAAUAAUCACAAAAGGUCAGACUUUGUUAUAUUGUUCUAAUAUUUUAAUUAUCAAUUGUUUUGUUAUAAUUUCUAUUCUAUUCAAGUUUAUUGUGUAGAUGGAUAUUUCGUCACAUCUUUGAAGAAUUUUUUAUGUUAUGAUUAAAUUUAAUCUUUUAAAAAAGGAUAGUGGUUUAAUUUUUUGUGUCACAUCUUUUAAAAAGAAGUGCUAUGAAAAGAGAAACUAGAAGCAGUAAAAAAAGCAUCGUGGUUAAUGAAAGAAUGAAAUUGAAAAAAAAAUUAAAUGAUGACAAAUACUUGAAUAAAUACUUACUUACAGGUGCAAUCUCAAAGUCACACUGUAAGGAAUUAAUCAACUUUUUAAUUGAUUGACAUUAAUAAAUUUUAAAUUCUUGGCAAUGAAAAAAUCAAAAUUAAAAUUGCAAGUUCUUGCUUCCAUGGUAGAGGAAGAGGAGAAGGAAAAAAAUUAAAAUUAAAAUAAUAUGUGACUUGGUUUUGACGCGACAAUGAUGUGGCACUGACAGGGCACGUGUGUAAUACAUUUUUCAUAGUAAAUGGUAUUAUAUUUUAUGGGUGGUGUUUUAAUAUACCUUAAAAUUGUUUAGAGGGAUAUUUACAUGCAGGUUAAGUUAAAGUGCUAAAAUAAUUUUCGGUGACAAGUUCAGGGUAAGGGGUUGGGGAGGGGUAGGGGAGGGGGCGGGCGGUCACGCAUUUUCAUAGAGAAAUAUGUGUCAUAUAUCAAAAAGGUAUGUCAAGAAAUAAAUAUAAUUUUUUUAAAAAAAGAUACAUGGAUAAAUAGAAUUUUUUUUCUUUUUUUAAUUUCUCAUUCAGAUCUGAUGUCCGCAUUUGAGUACAAUUAAAUUUGAAUAUGCGUUGAAAAGUUCUACAUUAAGAGAUAAAACGCUCCAUAACAAAAAUCACUUCGUACACAAAGAAUGAAUUGUUUACUAUUUUUUAAAUAGAAGUGAUCAACAAAAUAGCUUCUCUAAAAAUGACUAUUUUUCAUUGUUUUUGGCCAAAAUUACUUGCAUCGACAUUCAUAUUUACUAAAUUAAAAUUAAUAAUGUCCUCUUUUUGUGGUUUGACAUAAAAUCACUUUUAAAAAAUAUUAGCCAAGAACAAAUUACUGACAUAAAUUAAUUCAAACAAUUUAGUGAAGCAUCAAUCACUAAUUCCUUUCUUAAAAAAUUUUCAUAAGUUAAUUUAAUUGUAUGGCAAAAGAAAUAAUUUAAUCAAAGCAUCAACCACUUACUUUCUUAAAAUAUUUUUUAUAAGUUAAUAUAAUUAUCUGGCAAAAUAAGUUACUAAGAUGUAUCGAACAUAUGAAACUUCUCCUGAUUUUUGUUUUCAAAUCUGUCCUUAGGAAUGACAGGAUCAAGUUGAAAAAAAAUUUCAAAAUUUUGAAUCUUUCUUAAAUAACUUGACUUUCUAUAUAAUCAUCAAUUGAUGUGGUGUAGUGGAUAGAGUUGCUCCUCCCUUAUUUAGAGGUCUUAAUUGUAAAUUCUAUAAAUAAACAAGGUCUUUGGUAGAAAGUGUUUUCCUCGAAUGACCUUUGUGUGGUGCAAAUCGAAUUAAUCUGACUCCAAUGCGAAUAUUAAACAUUAGAUAAAAAAUCAAAAAGAAAAUCGUCUCCUAUAUUUAUUACAACCAUACCAAUUAACAUGUUACUUGAAGAGAAUAAUAUUUUUUAGUUUGUUUAGAAAACAUACAAUUUCAUAUAAAAACAGACAAAAGAUUAUUACUAAAGAAAUAGGGGAUUGAGGUCCACUUCAAUAACAGACAAAAGGUUAUUGUUUGUAUUGAAGAGGUACGUAGACUCAUCUGAGAAAAAAAGAAUUUCAUCUUCAUCCAAAUUAACUUUAAAUUUUUGCACAACAAUCAUGUUUUUCUUAGCAUUUCAAUAAAAAAUUAAUGAAUCAGACUAAAAUAUCGGUUCAAUUCAACUGUAAUCGACAAAUGCAAGUAACCAAAAAAUCUAUAAAGACUAAACAUAGCUAAAAAAGUUAAAACAAGAAUUAUA
rnacentral:lncRNA from 1 species